rnacentral:lncRNA from 1 species
UUUUUGAAGGUAUGUUUGGGCUUAUUUAUUAAAAGUAUAAGUAAAAAUGCUCCAAGAAAUAGACCAAAUAUUGGAUGGAGGCACAACAUAGAUAUUAGUGGAAAUGAUAAAAAAGUGAAAUGUAAUUAUUGUUCAGAGAUCAGUGGAGAAAUAUUUAGAUUCAAGCAUCAUCUUGUUGGAACUAGGGAAGAUUUUGAACCUUAUGCUUCUGUUUCAGAAGAAAUAAAAAAACAUUGAUGAUAAAAGUUGUUGCAGAAGCUAAGGAAACAAAAAUAGGUUGAAUAUAAUUGAUGAAGACAGUGAAGAAACUAAGGGGGUCGAAGAAAGACAAAGUAUGUUUGGUUUUAAGGGAGUAGAAAGAGUUGGUAGUAGUAGGGGGAGUUCAAGUUACUAACCAAAUGAUUAAAAAAGGCUAUAAAGAAGUUGACGCUCAAGUUGUUGAAUUGUUUUACACGUGUCAUUUCAUUCCAUGUAAUUAAAAAACCAGCUUUUACAAAAAUGUGUGAAAUGAUUGGGAAAUAUGGAGUUGACUAUAAACCCCCCUCUUAUCAUGAUGUAAGAGUGAAGCUCUUGAAGCAAGCAGUGGAAAUAAUUGAUUUAAUCCUUGACAAAUAAAAAAAGGCGUUGUAUUUUAACUUCUUGGUGAAUAGUCCUAAAGAGACUAUUUUUCUUAAUUUAUUGACCUAACACAUCUCAAAAGCAACUGAUAAAGUAUCAAAGAUGUUGGAUAAUGUUGUGAAAUUUGUUGGAGAAGAAAAUGUAGUGCAAGUGGUUACUGAUAAUGCUGCAAAAUUCAAGGCAACUAGAGAUUUUUUUAUGCAAAAAAGGGAAUAGUUGUAUUGGACCCCAUUUGCUACCCGUUGCAUUGAUAAGAUCUUUGAAGAUUUUGAAAAGAAUUUGAAGGUCCAUCAAAUUAUUAUCAAGGGAAGAAAGAUUACCACUUACAUUUAUGGCAGAACAAUGUUAAUUAGCAUGUUGAAGAAGUUCCCAAAAUGAAGAAACAUGAUACGGUCAAGUAUGAUAAGAUUUGUCAUGGCUAAUUUAACUCUAGCUUGUCUUCGUGAAUUGAAAGCAUCAUUAUUGACCAUGUUUAACUAUGACGAGUGGAAAAUAAGCAAGUUUGGAACUUCACAAAAGGGCAGAAAAGUUGAAAAUGUGGUAUUGGUGGACAAAGAUAUAAAGCUUGCAAUGGGUUUCAUUGUGCAAAGGAAAAAGAUUAAGUGCAAUUUCAAUAAUAUUAAGAAAAGGUAAAUAUUUUAUACCUUUUCUCUUUCAAAAUUUAAUUGCCUAUUUGUGAAAUUAUUUCUAAUAUAUCAUAAUUGGUAAUGUAGUUAUGAAGAUGUUUGUAAAAUAAUUGAUGCAUGAUGGGAUAAUCAACUCCAUAGGCCUUUGCAUGCAACUGAGCUGCCUCUCAACUCCCACUUCCACUAUGAACCUAAUUUUAGACUUGAUGAUUCUGAGGUCAAAGAGGGAUUGUAUAUGUGCAUGAGAAGAUUGGUUAAAGAUGUUGUAGAAAGGGGAAAAAAUUGCAACUUCUUGAUUUUCAUUAUGCUAGAAGACUUUUUUCAAUGGAUGAUACAACGGAAUGUAGGAAACUACUUCCUGGAGAAAGGUGGGAGAUGUUUGGGGAUGAAACUCCAUUGUUGAAGAGGUUUGCUAUCCAAGUUCUAAGCUUGACUAAAAUUUUCUUUAUUUGGUUUAUAUAUUUACUAAAAUUUCCUAUUUAAUUAUAGGCUCAUACAAAGAGAAGGAAUUGUUUGCAUCGGAAAAAGAUGAAUGAUUUUGUUUGUGAUGAACUUGACGUUGAAAAAUAAACAAAUUAGAAAAAUUGUUGCUCUUCCAUUUGAUGAUAUGGAGUCAGAUGAUGAAUAGAUAACUGAAGAGGGAGAUGAUAUUGUUUAGAUUGAGCAAGCUCAAUGUGAAUAUGAUGGUUAAAAUGUUCACUUAGAUAGAGCAACAAGAACCAACUGUAGAUGCACUUGAUCUUUAUAAUAUAACUUAUAAUGCCAAUCUGGAGGCACAAUUUUCAUCUCGGGAGAGUUUGAUGGUAAUCAAGAGGGUGAUGGAGAUGAUGAUGGAGAGGAUGAUGUCAUUGGACAUAGAAACUAGACAUUUGUCCAUUUCUAGUUAUUUAAUUUAUAUGACUUUAACAACUUAUGUUUUGUAAUUUUUGUAUGAACUUAUUUAUUCGAGAUACUUUGAACUUAUAUAAUUCUCAUUCACUACUAAAUGUAGUUAUUUUAAUGAUGUGGACUUACUUGUUUUAACUACUUUAGUUAAUUAUAUUAUUGAAAUAUUUUUUUCAUAUGAACUCUUACAAGUUUACGAAUCGAGUUUACGGAGUUCCCACGGGUUUAAUUAGACUCUCAAGUUUGAUGACCUUGGUAGACAAAUCUUUUGUGUUUUACAACGAAGUAAUAGAUGUUUCGUAUCUCUCCAACACCAUACCAUAAUUUUCUCAAAGAGUCUAUUAUCUAGAAACUCCUUAUCCAAAAAAAUUAUCUAGUUAGCAAUAGUCAGCAAUUUAUUUGAGUAUUCCUUAAUUGUCUCAGGCUCUUUCAUCCUUUGUAGUUCAAACUCCCUUAUUAAAUUUAGCACAUUCAUGCCACAAAUCUUCUUGUUUCCUUCAUAUUCUCCUUUCAAAUAAUCUCAAAUUUCUUUGGGUGACUUUAGGGUCAUGAUUCUAAUGAGGUGAAACACCAACAAACAAACAUGACUUCACUUUUUCCUUCUUUGUCCUUUUUUUUCUUUUGCAUUUUGAUUUGGGCCAUGGUGGGAUUUUUAGGAUCAAUGGUAUAAUCAUAUUCCACAAGUUCCCAUAAAUUUAGCCGCUCUUUAUAAGUUUGCUUUCUUACAACACAAAGAUCAUAACUUUUGCCAUAAAAGAGUGGAAUAGCUGACUUGUGAGAAAUUUCUUUCUCCUUCCAUUCUACAGGUCUCGUAAAAACGAUGACUCUACCACUAUUGGAAUUUUGGGAUUAAAAUAAUAUCAAAUAUUAAAAAUAUCUCAAUCUUAAUUUCCUAAUCUAAAUAACAAAUAAAUAUAUUUUUAUAUUUUAAGUAAAAGAUAUUUAAAAAAACAGAAAUAUUUCCCAAAGUCUAAUUUAAAUAAAAGUUACUAAACAAAUAUUCUCAACACCUUGAUGCAUAUUAUCCUCUGCAAUCAUCUUUGCAUUGUCUAACUCAAAAAUUUAUAUACACAUACCUUCUCCAGGUUUCAGAUAAUUGAAAACAACCAUUUGACUUUCAAAUGGACAAAAUGAAAAAGACCUUGCUAAUCUCAUGUUUAGCACAAAUCAAUUUCCUCAAUUCCCUCAAUCAUUUAAAAAGAAAGGAGCCCUUCUAAGCAAACUAAUUGAUACAACUAUAAACCAGGUUCCAUGAAAAAUUACUCAAAGAACAAUGUCAUGUUAUAUUGGAUAAAGCAAUGGUUUUUAGGAAGUAGCAAUUGAAUAUAUGAAUAUGGUGAAUAUCAGAAUUGAAGCUGCCCUACACACCUCAAGAGAUAUUGCUCCCCGGCCAUUCCAAGUGAAAUGAAUACAAGAUCUUCCCAAUGCCGCAAACCAAGGAUCCUCUCUCCUGCUUAAAAAACACAAUAAAAUUAUACACAGAACGACAAUGUAUUCAGAAACAAUGAUGGAAAUGAUGAUUGGACACGGAGCCAUGGAUAGCAAAGGCACAUGUUAUACAUGAAACAGAAAAUUUGUACUAUGAUUGCAAUUAAUGCAGCAAGUUAUGAACAGAAGAAUGAUAGAAUAAAAGGAAUGUAAGAGUCACUUAAUGAUUGGUUUACGUUGUGCUGCAUGAAAAGGAGAGAAACAAGAAACAACCUUUGCAAAUACUGGUGAGUUAGUUCUCCACUAGUGAUGGCCCCCAGAAAAAGAGAGGCAUCAAAGCCAAGACCCUUCACUUUUUCAAUGGUGGUUGAUGAUCGUCUUGAGGAGUUGCUUAUGAUCACCAUCUUAGCACCCGUUUGCGCAAUAUUUUCUACUAAGAAAAACAGAAACAAAAGAGACAUUAGUUGAUAAGACACAACACAGGAUAUGAGAAGCAAAAAGAAAAAGUAAAGUGUGGAAUAAUAGUUACAUGUUGAAAUAGCAGCAGGAUAAGGUUGUUUUCCGUCGUGAAGGACUCCGAACUGGUCCAACAACCAUACCUGAAUGGUGUAUUAGCAUAUCUGAUGAUGUUAUUUGUGUUGUGUGGGUAUAAAAUAAAUAUAAAAUUUUGAAAUGCUAUGAUUAUAAGUAACCUUGAAACGGCGCGUUUCGGCGAGUUGUCGGAGACCGUUCAAGGUGUGAAACUGAUGGGGCGGAACAGAGCAUUUGGGCAUCAUUCUGCAGCGCUCUCAGCUCUGCUUAGGUCAAAUUCAUCAAAUUACUUUGGGCCAAACCCUCUCCACAAACAGUAGAUUAGGGAUUUAGAUGCAGUGCCAUUGUAAUUUAUCCGUGAUAUUUUCUUUAAUUUAGAACUACAACCUUAAAAUUACAGAAAAAUAAAUAAAAUAAUCUGAAUAAAAAGUUAAAUUAAUUAACUUUUAAUUUUUUUCAAUUAAAUAUAUAUUUUUCUUUUUUAAUGUGAAAUUAAUUUUUAUUCACUAUUAUUAGAAUGACUUCUAAAUAAUUUUUUACUUACAAAUGAUAUUGAAUUUAGAUUAUAUUAUAUAAUAUUAUAACAUUAAUUUUAAUAAUAAGUUAAUAUAAAAUAUUUAUUAUCUAAAAGAACUGAUAAAAAUCAAUUCAAUAACUUUUUUAUUAUAAAUAUUAAAAAAAUUAAAAUUUAGACUAAAAAAUAAAAUCAAUUUAAAUGUAAAUACAAGAAAAAAUAUAUAUUUAAUUUUUUUUUUAUUGUUCUCAUCUAUUCCUUUGAUGUUUGUAUCACUCUAACGGAACAGUUAAAAGGAAUGGUAUAAGUGGUAACUAUAUUCAUAUUUGAUAUGGUUUAUUUCCAAGUGUUUUAUCACCGUUUUUUUAACAUGUACUGAUUGAAGGAUUACAAUUUUUAAAACUUUUAGGAAUUAAAAUACUUUUUUAAUGUAAAAGACGAAGUUUUAUUUCAAAUUUGAGAGGAUAUAAAUAUAAUUAAAUUAUAUAUGUAUUACAUUUUAUUUUCAAAUAAAAUGAAGCUUUUAGAUUUUAUUCCUUAAAAUAGAGGAUAAACAAGAUCCGUAAUUAAGAUUUCUUUCAUGUGAUUAGUGUGUUGGAACAGAAUGAAUUUCCUAAUUUCAGCUGAUUUCCAAAUAUUUGAGUUGUUUAAUCAUAUCUUGUGUCACUUAAAUUCUAAAAUAGAUUUUUUUUCUAAACAAUAAUUUAUCUUAGGAGUUAAAAUGUUUACUUAGAUUUUGGCAGCUUAUUUUAUUUUUAAAAGUGCAAUUUUUAAAGUAUUGAUGUAUUUCAAUUAUAUUUUAAGAUUAAAAUAUGCUUUUUAGUUUCUGUAAAAAUAUUUAUUAGUUUUAAAUCUUUGACAUUAUUGGUAGUUAUAAUUAGUUUAAGGUUAAAAUUUAAAAAAAAAACAUUAAUCAAUAUAAUAAAAAUAAAAUAUCUUAAAUUAAGAAAUCCCAAUAAAUACUAAAAAAACUAGUAUAAUAUGAAUUUUGAAUUAUACAUUUAAGAAAUGAUACAAAGAAGACUCAAAGUAAGAGAUGAUACUAAGACACGUAUACCAACAAUACACAUGAUAUAAACACUCAAAAAAAAAAUUCUAUCUAAAUAAAAAUUAUUUCAAAAUUGUUAAAUCACCAACUCAAAUGUGUCCAAUACUAAUAAAUGUUCUAACAUAAUAAACAAAUCUCAUCAGAAGUAACAAGCUCCAUCGAAUGCUUUAAGUAAUAAGAUGCUACAACUAGAUGUUUUUGUCUUAAAAAGAAAUCUAGUAUACAAGAACUUAUAAACUUCACCUUACACUACAACUAUUUUAUAUUGGAAUUAUUGACAAUAAUCAAUAUUUAGCAAGUUCAAUCAAUGGAUGAAUUUACUUUUACAGAUGUAAUUGGCUUCGCAAGGGGAGUUGAAUGGAGUUAGUUCUCAAAUCGUGAAUUUAUAGACAAUAUAAAACAAUGUCUAAUAAGCAAGAAUAAGAUAAAAGUAUACACAAAUUUUUACUAGUUCGCCCUACUACUUGAGUUGCGUCCAUUUCCCUUAAACAAAUCACUUAAUAGCUUUUCACUAACCAAAUUCACUUUGGCUACAACAAGUUUCAACACCUCUCCAAGAACAAGUAUUAUACACCUCUUCAGGUACAAGUAUUAUCCACUCUUCAAGUACAAGUAUUUUUCCCCUCUUCAUGUACAAGUAUUUUCCACCUCUCAAGUACAAGUUGAUGUAAUUCAACUUUGUAGCCUUGCAUGCUUUUGUGUAGAUCUUCUUCUUCAAUGUUUUUUAUUUGAAUUUCUUCAGCGAAAGAUGAAUGAUAGUAGAAGCAUGUAAGAAGUGUAGAAAAUUUCAAAAGGGGAUGGAAAAUAUGAUUUCAUUUUAAGUCACGUUAGGCUAACAUUUAGUUUCUAGAGUGAGGUUGGACCAACACUACUAGGAGGAGUUUAGAAAUUUGUGUAGCAAGAAAACAACUCUAGAGAUAACUUUAACAAGUACAAAUGUCUCAAAAAUUGGACAACAAUUCUGAUGGAGGACCAUCUUCACUUCCAAGCCACCAUAUACUUGGCUUAAAGUAGAAGAUCAACCUUAGAAAUAUACAAAAGAAUCUCUCUCUUAGUUUGUAUAAAUUUGUAAAUAGUAGAAUAGUCUUUUUUUGGCUUUGUAUUUUUUAGUCAAUUUUUAGAAUAGGUUAAAAAUAAAUCAAAUGCACUUUAGAAACCUUUACUUGACAUUUAAGCAAAGGUUUCUAAAGCACCUAAGAAGCUUGGACGAUCAUGGGUUUGAUUUUACCUUUACCCCAUAGUUAAGUUUAACUUAACUAAGGUGAAGACAUCCAAUACGAACAAUUUAAAGACUCUUAAGCCUAUAAAUAAGAGGUUCCCAUCUUGUAAAACUUAAAACUUAGAUGAAAUUAAAUGUGUUUAUGAAUUUUUAGCAAACUCUCUCCAAAUCUCUCUUUACUAAUGCUUUCAAGACUAGUGAAAACUCAAGGAAGUUGGAUUAACCUUUUCCUUGGUCCUUGCACCUAAAACACCAUGCCUAUUCAUCUCCUCCAUCUCCAUUUUUAGUGAAACCUUCAUUAAUCUUCAAAGAUUUUCGUUGCAUGCACCAAUCUCCUCCAAAAUACAAGAACACAAUUGCAUCAUGUGAAUCAAAGCAAGGAACCCAUGGUUGAUAAGUGUCAUGUAUAAUUCAUUAAUAUUUCAUACAAAAAAUAUAGGUGCUUAUGGAUUUUAAUUGAUAAAAUAGUUAUAAUUCAACCCCUAAUUUAGGAAUUUGAAUAUUUUACAUAUUUUUGGAUUAUAAGAUGAAUGUGGAUGAUUGAUUCACAAAUUUGUGUUAAUUUCAAGAUUCCAGGGAAAAUAGAGAAAAAAAGGCUAAAGAAGAAUGGACAAGAUGAAAAGACAAAGUUGAAACAUUGGGGACUCACCCAAUCAUGAUCACUCCAGAGGAACUCGCCCAAGACUCGCUUAAGCGAGUUCAGUCCAAUAAAGUUAGGUUUUUUCUCGUCAAACUCGCUUAAGCAAACAAUAUCUCGCUUGAGCGAAAUGUCACUUAGCCCAAGCCCAAUUAGGUUAAAUAGAAGGCGUGAGACAUAACUCUAUACAUCAUUGGGAGGAUAUUGAGAAAUAGAAAAUCCUAGAGAAGACAGUCGUUAAGGAGAAACACUCAGAAUUUGUUCAAACUCUUAUGUAUUGAGGUGAUAUUUAUUUAUAAUAUUUUUUUGAUUUAUUUAUAAUAUUUUAUUUUAUUAUUAAAGUUUGAAUCUUUAUUCAUAAUUUUGAUCCUUAGAUUUGACUAGAAAGUAUUUUUAAGCAUAUGACAUAAAUGAUCAUGUUUAACAUUUUUUAAUGCUAGAAAUAUAUUUAAAAUGUUAAUUGUUUUAUAACAUUUGUUCGUCAUGAUAAAAGGUUUUUAUAAAUAUGCGAGAAAUCAAUAUUUAAGAAAUAUUCUUAAUAAUUUUGUAUGCGAAAAAUCAAUAUAAAUGAUUUUUAUAUGUGCAUCAAUGUCAAUAAAGAUGCAAUGCUAUAUUAUAUGUUUUUAUAAUUGAAGAUAAAAAAAAGUCAGAAGGAUAAACCAAAUUCCAAUUUUCUCAAUUUACUCAUCCAAACCAUUUACUUUGCUUUUAUUUAAUUUCUUAGAAAUUCAUUAUACAAACAACCUUUCAAACAAAUUUUUACACAUCUUUUCAUAUUUAGUAAAUAUUAUACUUCAAAUUUUAGAAUUCUUCAUUGUGAGUUAAAUGUUUAUUGAAGAUUCAAUGUUAAUUGUGGAUUCGAUAUCCACUUCUAAAAACAAAUUAUUAUCUAACUUUUCAUACAUUUGUCGUAAGAUAGUAAUGGAAUAUCAACAUUAGCUCUUUGUAAGCGCAACCAUUAUUGACAGUUAUAUGACUUAAAAAUCUUUGAGUAGUGCUGUUCCACCCUAACCUGAUUUAAGAAGUUGGUAAAUGAAAAUUGUAAAUGAAAACCACAUUUAUUCCUUUCAAGAAAGAAGGUCAUUUCACUCCAUAAAACCUGUGCAGCUAAAAGGUCUUAUAAUAGUAAUACAACACUAACAUUAACCAUUUGAAAGCGACAAUAGAAAGGUUAAACACAUGGAAACUAUUCAGGAGGAGGAGGAGGUGGUGGUGGUGGUGCCUCUUUAUUUACACUUUUGCCUCUCGCUCUUAGCAUGUCAACUUCUUCUUUCAUGGCUUCUUUUCUCCUCUUGCUAGCCAAUAUUUUAGCCAUAACACCACUCACGCUGGGGUCCUUUUUCUCCGUCGGUGGAGGCGGUGGACGCCUUGCAGCACCACUUGCCCUUUGCUCAUCAACCAAACCCAACCCCACCACUGCCGCACCACUCAACCCCACUAAUGUCCUACAUGCAAUAUUGUAAUUGUAAUAACAAUGCACCAUUCCUUAUUCCAUUUAAUUUCAAUAAAGCAUAACAAUAAUAAUAAAUUAAUAACAUUUGUUUAUUUUGAGAACUUAUAAAGUAUUACAAGUUUUGCAGUUGAUGCUGAUAAUAAAGGAGAUAGAUACCUGCGAUGCAGAGAGUGGCCACGAUGAGGAGGGACUUUAUUAAGAUCGGAGAUGGAAGAGGGCUGUGACUGUUGAUAUUGGUGAUGAAAGCAGCACACUUUUGACGUUGGAAAGUGACCAUUUUUCCAAGAAUAGAGGAGGCUCUUCCGGGCUCUGGCGGCGGAGAGAGGUGUUGCAGCAGUGGUAGGAGGUGGUGUUAGCAAAUGAGCCAUUGGGUAACGUUAGCCCCGGACAAUAACAAGAUGUGGAUGUUAUUUGAAUAAGUGGUGUGAUCUGAUGGUGGAAAUCCAUUGGCUCAUUCCAGAUAAGGUUCCAUCGCUUUGUCCACCGUGGAACCUCCCCAUCUUCAUCGCCCUUGUUUGCUAUUUAUUUAAAUCACGUUUUUUUAUUAAAACCAAACGCGUGCCUUUAUGGUACCAAGCUCAUUGAAAAUCACUAACCAUCGUGAAUGAGGGAAUGAGAAGGCUACAUAAAUACAUGAAUCAUAAGAAUAGAUUCGAAAAUUUUACCAAAAUGAUGCACUUAGUUUGAGAAUUAAGUAAAAGAGCAAAUGCAAAAAUGCGAAAAAGGGAGUAUUUCUCGGUUAAAGUUGUAAAUGAUGUAGGUAGCAUUAAUUAAAUUCAUUAAUCUGUAAUUUUUUUUAAUUAAAGUUGUCAAUUGGAUUGGUAACUCUAGUUUAAAUAAAAUUGGAUGGAUUGACAACUUCAUUAUAUCAAUUAAAGUUUUCAAUUUGAAACAAAUGAUAAUUAAUAUUUUUUAAAAUAAAAAUAUAUAGUUACAAAAAUUAUUUUAUAAAUAAUACCAAAAUUUAAUUUAAUUUUAUUUAAGAAAAUGAUAUAUAAAGUUGAAAAAUUAAAAUGAUUUUCUUUUACAAUAAUUUUAAAUAAUUGGGUUAAAAAUUGUGAUAAAUUAAAAAUAUUUUCUAAUUUUUAAAUAUUGUUAAAGUUAAAAAUACACUUAUAAAAAAUAUAUGAUAUGAUAUAUGUAUAAAUUAUAUAAUAUGUAAAAAGUAAUAAUAUAAAUGUAUUUAUGCUAAAAUAAAUGUAUUAAAAAUUAAAUUAUUGAAUAUAAGUCAUUAAAAGAAUAAGAUAUUAAAAUAUUUGAUGACAACAACAUUACAAAGGAUUAUUCUACUUUUUAAGUGGACAAUUUCCUCUGUUGUGACUUUCAUUGUGAUAGUAAGAACAUUUUUUGGCUUGUUCUGAAUUGGUUGAUCCAUUUCAUUAUGCAAACGAGUUGUAAUUGAUCGUCUCGAGUUUUUACGUCACAUGUGGGGAUCAAGUAUGAAAUUUGGCCCAAUAUAAGUAGAUAAAAAAAUCCUCGUUUCGAACGGGAUGAAAUUCAACUUGAUAUAUGUCUUUCUAAUUGUGUGGAUGUUAUAAACUGGAUUAAUGAAUGCCGUCAUUUGUAAAUGACAAGAGGAGCCAUAACGAACGACAAGGAAGUCGAAGAGCUUGAAAGUGGUCACAAUCACACCAUCAAUCAUUUAAUCUAAUUGUAUAUGACUGAGGUUGUCGACCAUGUUGGGGGUGGCUAAUUCUUGGACAUCAAAUUUAGAAUUUUCUGCAUUAAACCUUUCCACAAAACACAUAGAUGAACCUUGUUGAUAUUUUCUAAGUAAGGCUGUGAUAUUUUCUAAGUAAGGUUGUGAUAUUUUCUGGAUAAUAAUGACCUGUGCGUAACAUGAUGUCUAUUUUGAAUGCUCGUUCAACAAAUCAUGUUUUUGUUUUUUUGAAAGUUGUCUUAACCAAAGUGAAAAUCGACAAAGAACGAGCUCCCUUAAGUACAAAGUUAAUGCAUUCCGCUAGAUUUGUGGUCAUAUGACCAUACCUCUUUCCCCCAUCGUAUGCUUGAGUUAAUUUCUCUAACGAUAUGCGAUCUAUCUAGGAAAAUGUUUGCUUGAACUCAGAUCGCAUAACUAAUAACUUUGUUUGUACUGUGGGUUGUUUCAUCUCAUAAGUUGUCAUAAAGAAGUAAAUGAAAUUAGUUAAAUGAUAAAAUGUCGUAAUUAUCUAUGAGGGAAGGUAAGGAAUGUUAUUAUACAUGUUAAUCAACUAUCGUUUGUAAAAACAAAAUUUAGUUUUAAUUUUUUUUAAUAUUAUUUAUUUAUAAAAUACAAAUUUUCACAAUAUUUUAUUCACUUAAUGUAAUUUUAAAUAAUUUUUAAAUUAUUAUUAUAUACAUUUUUAAUUUUAAAAAUAUAUUAAUUAUUUAAAAAAAAUUCAACUGAACUUGUCAACCAAAUUGACAACUUUAAUUGAGAUAAAAUAUACUAAAGUUGUCAAUCUAAUGUCCAACUUUAUUUAAACUGAAGUUGUCAAUCCGAUUGACAACUUUAAUAUAAAAAAAAUGGACAAAUUAAUGAAUUUAUUGAUGUUGCCUACACCAUUAGCAACUUUGACUCAGAAAUGCGCAUUCAUAUAAUUUUUUCUACAUUUACUCAUUUACGUAAUUUUCAAACUAAAGUGCACCAUUUUGGUAAAAUUUCCAAUAAAUUCUGCUUUAGGUAAGAUCAAGUGGUGUUGAUCAGCUUGCCAGUUUCAACUUAAAAUAUUGCAACCGCAUACUAUUAUGGGUGACAAUUUCUGCUGACCCACUUUGUAUAGCUAGCAAGUAUGGACUGGGUUGACCUGUCACAUGCAGUAAGACUGCUUCAUCCUGCCCCCUUCAUAUAUUAUUCUUUCACCUCCAUAAAUUUUUGGUGUUAAAAUAUGUCUAUUUGUAAUAUUUCAGAAUACGUAAUUCAGAAGUCUUUUUCCAAAUUCGUAACUAGCUUUCCGAUUAUGUAAUACAAAAGUUUUUUUUUUCAGAAACAUGAUUAGUUUCCAUAUUACAUAAUCCAAAAGUCUUUCCAAUAUGAGAUUAACUUUCGAAUUAUGUAAUCUGAAAGCCUUUUUUUCAAAUGCAUGGUUGUAUUACAUAACCCAAAAGCUACUCUUAAAUCUAAACUUUCAAAUUAUAUAAUUUGAAAUACCUUUUUUAAAAAUAUAUUUCGGAUUAUAUAAUUCAUAAAUUAUAUCCAAAUUCAAGAUUAAACUUCCAGAUUAUAUAAUUCUGAAUAUGCAAAUGAAAGGAUAAAAAAGUAUUUUCAUAUUUUGUAUUAUAUGAAAAUAAGAAAAGAAAAAAAAAAGUCCAUAGUAAAUAUGAAUUUGAUCCAUUAUAUAAUCUGUCAAAUAUGGAUCAAUUAAUCGGUCGCACACAUGAGUUGACUUGUAUAAACUUUUUUUAAAAAAAAUAAUAAAAAAUAAAUUUUUAAAUAUUGAAUAAAUUUACUUUUUUUUUAUUAAAUUAAUGUUUAUAUAUUUAAAUGAUGAUCUCAGUAUUACUCUCGUAACACAUACAUAAUAUAAAUAAAAGAAAAUAUUCUAAUAUUCUAAUUUUGAAUAAAAUUUUGAUUUUAAUUGUACUACUAAAUUGAUUCACAAUUUUUUUUAUUUAUACACCAAAUAUACACUUUUUAAAAAAUAAAAAAUACAUGUACACACACAUAGACAGUAUUCUAAUUAAAAAAUAGUAUAAAAUAAUAAAACUUGAGAGAAACAAAUUUAUUAAAAAUAUAAGUCAAAAAUGAAAUUCACCCUUUUGGUAAACUAAAUAACUACUGAAAUGGAACCUCCAAUCGCAAAGUCAAUCAAAACACCCAAAUCCCACCUUUCCAAGCUAACCCAGAAAUAAUACAAAUAAUAUUCCUAAUAGAAUAAUCCUAUCAUACUAUUACAUCAAUGGAAGAACUUUACAUACCAUAAUACAACAUAAUGUGAAAAGGUUUUUACACAAUCAAUCAAUGUAAUAACCAGUACUGACGUGUAAUUAAACUGCUCCCAGACUAGCCCAUUUGCCAAGGUCAUAUGGAUCAGCAUAGUAAUACAGUUUAAUUCUAUUAGACAAAGAUAGCCCCACUGCCAGUGGAGAAAUUCUAGUGCCAGAAUCAUCUUGUUCUGAUGGGUCGUCAGUAAAAGCUGCAACAUCUCCGAGUAGUUUGAAAGAAAUUCUGCGAGUUUGUAUCUGGCUAGAAAAAUCAAAGUACAUCGGUGUUCCAGCUCUGGCCUCUGGUAAUCGGUACUCACCAAUGGUGACCAUGCUAUGGGGUUCCUGCAAUCAAUCAAAAUAAUCCGGUCGUUUCACCCAUAAAAGAUCAAUAGAAAGUAAUAUUUCAAAAGAGGGGUGGGUAGGUGUCAAAUGUAAAAAAAAAAGUAUCUAUUCGACAGUUUAGGUUUAUGGAAUAGUUGGUUCAUAAAAAAGCCUUUAGAGAGUUAGAGGUCUACAAAUCAAUCCUGGUCGCCCCUUUCCAAUUAAACAAAAAAUAGAAUUUUAGCAUAGACUAGGUGGACCAUUUAUGCCUCUAGCCAAUGUAAUAUAGAAUCAUUUAUAUUUCUUCACCUAAGCGAAGAGAUUAAGAUUUUCGAAUUGCUAUUUUAUGAUAAAAAUAUACGUAGGAGUUUUCAAAAUAUCAUUAAAACUAAGAGUUCGUACUUUUUACCCUUAUGUCGAGGUCAAUCCGGCAAAGAAAUGUUAUGCCGAUUGUAGGAGUCCAAUGUGCAAAAGCUUAUUAUCCUGAUUUUUUGGCUUCAUUCUCCUUCACAUUGGUUUAAAUGUAAUAUACUUAUACUGAUGGGACAGCUAAAGGUUCUCCUAGUGUAUUUGGCUGUGGGAUUAUUUUUAGCGAUCAUCAUGCUUCCAUUGUGGGUUAUUUCUCUUCAUAGCUUAGUGUUCAUAAUGCUUUAUAUGCUGGGAUGAUAAGUGUGAUUGGACUAAUCUUUGGAUUGAGCGUAACUCUCAACUUAUUAUUUAAGCUCGGUCUAAUACACGUAUUAUUCCUUAGAAUCAAGUUGAAUUGUUGUGUAAAUAGUAAUACUAUGUGCAUUCAUUGUUUGCAUAUUUUUAGAGAAAGUAAUCAGUGCGUGGGAUAAACUCAUUGAGUUUGGCACUAGAUGUCAAGGUUAUACUUGGUGGGAUAAUCUUCCUAGUUUGGCACUAGAAAGAUUUGAUUUUACCCUUUUAAAGGGUUAGGGAUUAAUGGAUCAGGUUUGGUCCCCCCAAUAUUUUCAUAUUUUCUUCUUUCUUUUUAUAAUAUUUUGAGGUGCUGCAAAUGAUUGAUGUUGUUUGUGGUGCUAACAUAGUUGGGGUACAAACAACAUAGUGAUGCCUUAGCACUCUCGUUUCUAUUAAAAAAAUCUACCCUUAUGAAAGAAAAAUUUCUAUGAAGUGUAACUAAAAAACAAACAACGGACGAACCAUUUUUCUAUUACUUAAAAAGUGUACAACUUAUGCUUCUUCGUGGAUAUAAAAAAAAUGCUUUGUGAAUUAAACCUUGAUGCUUUUUUCUUCUUUUAAAAUUCAUUCUGCAUAUUACUGUGCAGGUGCCAAACAACCAUGGCCAGAAAAAAAAAAAAAUAGGUAUACAGAAUCAGAGCUCUACUAAACAUAGCAAUUCAUGGAAGGAGAACCUCCACUGAUCUAGGCAAGAGAAAAGUGACAGAAGCAGUAAUGUUCCAGUAAUUAAUUACCUGGAGAAUAGAUACUUGAAUAUACAGUACAGCUGGAGUGAUGUAUCUGUCAUCCACAAGGGAAGGAAAACUUUUGCUAUGUACAUCUGAAAAAGGUGAAUGGGUAACCCGAGGCUUGAUUGCACUAAAGGCAUCUAGACGAAAUCCAGCAAGCAGGGGAGAAACAGGAGACAGAUACUGCUCCAGUACAAGAUCAUUGUCCAUCAAUCUUUCAGCCUCAAAUGGAACCUAAUAAAAUAAGAGGUUAAUAUAUAUUUUUGAGAUUGAGAUAACUUCAAAAACAAAAUGGUUAUCACAAAAGGAUGAAGCAAAAUAGCACAGAUUUUACCUUGAAUCUAUUUAGCUGUGGUGCUCUUUCCAACCACCCUGUCAGGGCCAACUGGUCAGAGCUCUGUUGUGGUUUAAGAUCAACUUCCUUCCUAACGGAGCUUCCAACCACUAAAAUCCUCUUGGCAUGAAGACAGGGUUCACUUUCAAUAGAUCCUCCAAAUGAGGCCCGUCGAGUUUCUUGUGCAAAAGGAUUUUCAUCAAUAGACAACAGAUUGAAGUCAUUUCCAAUAUUUAUAGAACUUGAACCAGGUCGCUGAAGGCGUAAACUUAUCCAAAUUAUGCGGCAGCGAACAGAAUUCUUGAAGGUAAACUUCACAUGUCUAGGCACUUUAUGCUCUGUUCCUGACUUUUCAGGUCCAUAUAGUUCUAAGGAAGAAUUAAUCAUGGAUUGCAGAUCCCACUUUCCCAUUAAAGAUCUUUCUUCCUUGUGUAUUUUGUUACUUGCCCAAAUUUGUACCUGUUCCAACAUAUUCCUAGAGUUAAAUUUUAAACACAAUGAACAAUAAAAGGAAAAAAAGGAAAUGUGACAAAUGAAUACUUACAAUUGGAGCAUCAGCCGCAGAGUAGCCACAUGGGCUGACAAUUAAUAUAACUCCACUAACAUCAGAAGUAUUGCCAAGGACAAUUCCAAAUUCAACGGCAGUGGUACUAGAUGGAGCUUUCCAAUAUGAUAACCACAAACCAGAAUUUAAAGGAGCAAGCAAUGACAAAAAUGGAGCAGAAUCUGCUGCUGCUUCAAACUGCAAUUGCAUGGCUAAUGGUUAUAGCAUAUAAAUGUGUUGCAAAAGAAGGAUUACCCUUGUAUUUGAAAGAUCAGAAUCAUAUUGGCUCCCGAAUGUAGCAAAAAAUAUUUUCUUUUGGCUAAAUAGUAGCAACACAAAAUUAAACCCCGUAAUGUUUCACUUAACACGCAAUUAGUACAAAACAAACAAGAGGAUAAUCAAAAAGUGACAGUUGAUUAAACCACUGAAAAUAGUUAAAUAUUUGUUAUAAAGCAGCCAAUAUAAAUAACGAUAGAUAGGUUUGCUAUGGUAUUUGCUAGUUUUCUAAAUCUUUUCAAGAAAACAAGGCUUAUAUUUUUUUUUACUAUAGUUUCUGGAUAUAUCACUUGAAAAUCUCCACUGUCUAGCAAAAUGAGACAGCAUAAUCAUACAGAAGAAUUCAGAUACAAAAAAUCACAUACACAAUUAUUCUCAAGUUCUUGCAUCAGUUGUAUCAAAUGAUUUUCUUUCUACAAAAACAUAUUCAUCGAUGAACCAUAACAAUUAAAAUCAUUAAGAUAAUUGGUAUUAAUCUCGUCCAUGCAUGGUUCAACUUUGGAUGCAAGCCAUAUAUCAUUGAUUAAACACAUCUUUGGUAGAUGCAACAGUACGUGGCUUGAUAUUUCACAUGAAAAAGUAAAACAAAAUGACGCAGUGGCAAAAAUUAAAAUAUAUUAAAUUAAAAAAUAUACCGGGUGUAGAAAGCUGCCAAAAGGAAAUUCAGCAAGGGAUUCAUAUCCGUUCAGUAACAAACGUACUGCUUUUCCAGUAGGCUUGUUAUUAUAGGCAUUAUUCUUUUCUAGAAGAUAAUCCCAGGAUGAACCAAUGAUUUGCGUCAAAGCAUUGCAAGCAGCCUUUUCCACACGUUCUGUUCUUCGUAAGCUAAUCAGAACCCUCACAUGGUCCAAAAUCAAUGCAUGAAGCACAAUAUCCUGGCAACACCGCUUGCAAAUUAUACCAUCUCGAGCUAAUAAACGAUUUACAGGUAAAUCAACUUGGCCACUUUGGCUUGAAGCACCAUUGUAAUUCAUGACCUCUCCUCUAGUGUUAUAUCCUACAAGCAGAAGUGCCCCCCUCCCUGCACAGCAAACUCUACAAACCUUCCUUUCACAUUGAGAACACAAGAAUAAAGCUUCUGAAGAACCAGUAGAUGACAUUGUGCUAGAUGAAUGAACUGCCUUUUUAAAUUCAGCACGCACUUCACACUUGCCAUCAGAACAGGUUUCCUCAAUUCUGAUAAUAUUCCAGAAAUCUAUUGGGUUAUCAUCAAGAGUCUCAAGACCAAUAGCACUAAUAAUUUUAUCUUCAAGAGAAGCUUCACCAAGCAGGGAAAGAUUGUUUGCAACUUUAGAUAAUUUUCCCAUAUAAGCUUCAUCAAGAAGUGCAUUGGGAUUUAUGGUUGCAGGAUCCAUUCCAACAGAUAGCAAGGCUCUAUCCCUUUCAGCAGCAGAAAGAUUCAACUUAAGGCGUUCAAUUUCAAGUUUCAUGGCUUCAAUGAAGUUGAUUUUUCUUUGCUAUAAAACAGCCAAAAUACUUCAUGAUUAGAUUUAAACUGAAGAUACCAAUAGAACAAUUACUUGUUUCGUUUAAGAGCUAUAAAUAUAAUAUAACUUAUACAUUCAGUGCCCUGCUAAUCACUAUUAACCAGUUCUCCAACAUCUUAUACAUUCAUUUCCCAUUUUCUGAUAAAGAAAUUGUAUUAGUGAGAAAUGGAGAAAGUAUGACUCAUAAUAGAAAUAUCCUCUAAAACAGAUGAAGACAAUACAUGAUAGGAAAAGAAGGAAUCAAUAUGCAUCAAGGCUGCCUAGACUCUCUCCCUAUGAAAAAUGAAACUCCUUGAAAUAACCAUGAGUACUGGAGAGAGAAGCCGUAAGCAUGACCUAUAUAUCUCAGAGUGUAAACAACACAUCUAUUCCAUUUUUCUCUUUAUACAAUAACUCUUUAAAGAGAGAAAGACAAGGAGGGUUUCAGGCAUUUUAGUCCGAAAGAUUUUAAUAACCUUCUGUUAAUCCCAAAUUUGCAAAACUCAGUUCUCUUUAGUCUCUUUUGGGCCAAUACAAUAGAGAAAAAUAAAGUGAAAAAGGACUAAAACGAGGGGACUAAAUGGAAAACCCCUGGCCUAUAUAUAACCUUGAGGCCUAAUUUAAGGGGCUUACUCAAAUAAAAAAUGUAGAAUGAGAUUUCCUUCGCACUAAGAAAAUAAAUAAAAAGGAAAGAGUAAAGUCAAACAUGCUUGUCAAUGCAAUAAAACACUCCAAAUCCUCAGAAAAUAUAAUAGGGAAGUUGCCUUCUAAAGCCCACAAAUACAUAUAAAACCUUAACUCACUUUUCAAUCCAACCAAAUACACGAGAACUGAAAAAUCUGCACACCACCACCACAAAAUAUUGCCCUCCUUCUUUUCCAAAAACCUCUAAAUUAACCAAUAUAAGCUGGCUCCAAAUUCCACUGAAGUGCAGAAUUCACCAAAACUUUAAUCCAAAUAUUAAAAGUGACUGUACUAUGAUGCAAAUACAAGUGUGAACAUUGGCAAUUAAGAUAACAAUAUUCCUUAGUGGAAACUGCACAGAAUCUGAUAACAAAUAACAAUCAUGAAUGAAACUUAUAUCCAAAUAUUAUGUCAUGAAUUAUCUUUGACGACAACAGUAAUGGAAUAAUGUAUGGAACAUAAUGCUUUUGGAAAAUUUAUGAUGAUUCAUUGAAACAUCAUGAAAUUGAUAACAUACCAGACCUGGCCCUGCAAGAGUUUUAAGGCACGUCAAAUAUUGUUGAGCAAUACUAUCUGAAUGUCGGGCAUCUUCUGCUGAAAAUUUACUGUCACUUUUGGCACCAUGAUUUUCGACACUUAGGUCCAAGAACUCAAGUGGGUCACUUUUCUGGUAGACAACAUCGUCAGUAACUGGUUGCGCAAGUGGGUGUGGAAGUGGGUCCUCCCCAGACAGGAGGUCAAGAAAAAGGUCAGCCGAAGUGCCUACUUGCUUGGGUGGUGAUACUUUUUCAAUGGAUGAAGGGUUAAAUGGACUUGUAUCUGAACCAGAUAAAAAGGGAUUAAGUUCCUCUUGAAACUUCUUGACAUGCUCAACUAAUCUUGUACCAGGGCCUUCAUUGGUAAAUAUAUCAGUCCAAGGAAGAGAAACUCCAAGGAUUUCAAUCUAUAGAAAAACCACAACAUAUAGCAGCAAUUAAAGAUUUACAUAACCCAAAUUAACAUGCCUACCUUGAAAAUAGAAGUAGAGCAAUAGAAAAUUAACUCAGCAAUUGAAUUAAUAGUGAUAGGGAGAGCACAUAUGCAAGUAGAGCAUUCAACCAUUGGUCUAGUAAAAAGGUAGAAGAACAAUCAAAAUCAUGUUGCAUUGCCUUUUGAGCACUCGUCUAGAUAUACAUUUUUAAAUUUAUUUCAAGACCUUGACAUUUUAGAAAGUAUUUCUGUUUCAUCAAAUUAAAAAUUGAUUUAGAGAAAAAAAGGAAAUAAUGAAAAUAUGCUAGAAUCAAAUCCAUUUAGAAAAGGAACAAGUUUUCAUUGUUAGUGACAUGCAGUCUAAAUUAACACCGACUAACGACAAUUCACAUAGCUAGGAAACAUUAGAAUUAAAAGCACAGGAUACUUUAGCAUCCCCUAGUUAAAAAUGGGGAAUUUUCACACAAUACAGAGAUACCUCAAAAUGGAUCCACAUCAAAUAUAUUAAACCUAUAAUGAUUGAUUAUCAACUCACCUAUUCAGUUAAAUUAAGCAUCAUAUUUGCAAUAUAUAGGAUUUUUUAGUCACAAGACAAAAUAGUACAGUCAUGCAACCCACAUAGAAUAUUAAAUAAAAAUGCCAAAGACUAUUAUAGUUAGUCAAGCCACGACUCAUAUACCUCACCAAGCGUUAAUGGUUUUCUUCCAGAAACAGUUGGAUAAAAGGUUAGUGCAACUACACGAGUAAGGAAAUCCCACUCUCCCUCAAGUUCCUCAAAAUCAUACAGUAAGGAGAAGGGUGAUGCAUCUUGGGAAUGAAGACGAGAAUUUGCCCCAGUUAUAGCAAUGUCUUCUGCACUAAUUGCCCCAGGUAAGGGUAUCACAAGGUUGGUCCCACUUGCACAUUGUGGUAUAGAAGCACCCUGCCAAUAGAUGUCAGACAGGGUUCAGAUGUCAUGUCAGAACUGUAUCUAUAAAAACUCCAUAAAAGAAAGUAAUAAGUUGCUCGUCACUAUAGCUAGACAAACCAUUGCUUACUAAAAUUUAAAUAUUUUUAUUUAAUACAGUCAAAAUAAUAAUUAAAAAUUGAAGAUGCCUUUCAAAAUAUUCCUUUUAGAAAGUUUUAAGUUGCACAAAGUACAAAUGAACGCAAGACUUCUUAUUAAAAUAGCAUGAUUAAGAUCAACUCUUUCAGUAGUAUUAUGCACACGUUAAUAUUAUGAGUUGUGAGACAUAAUGAGGACAAAAUACAGACCUCUAAGACCAGUUUAAGCCCAUCCAAAUGGCGCCCUGUCCUUACAUCAACUGUUGAUGGAUAAGUUAAAUCAUCUGCACCAUGGGAUAUUGUGAGAAGGAGCUGACAAACAUGGCAAGGUUCACCAAGAUAAAUAAUGAUUUCAACUACAUCUGCAGGCUGUGGACAAAUCUGUAAAAGGAAAAUGUAUACAUACUUUGGUAAGAUGAGAUAUAUAAAAAUUUCAGGCAAAUAUAAUUGAAAAAUUCAUACAUGAUAGAACAGAGAAAAACAUUUAGCAUACCCAGACAAGGCCUUUUCUUUUGAAACUCAGAAGACUAGCUUCACCACCAGAAAUAGGAAACAAGUUUGCGAUCGGUUUGAGAACAAAACCAGACGGUCGAGAUGGUACCUACAAUGAUCAGAUAAACAAGUUAUUGGUAACAGCUAGUCUGUUCCCACUGUAAACCACAAGGUUUAAAAGUCCCCACAUUAAAAAAAUUCUAUGGUAUUAACUGGGAUUACAAGUCAACAGUUAAAGUGGAAUCCCUCAACCAGAAGCAGAAAUUAAUACCGAAAAUUUAGCAACAGAGAGAUGCAAAAAGUGAAAGGAGAUGUGAUUCAGUGACUAACAUGAAAUUAAUUAUGAAACUGCAAUUGCUAGGCACUUGAUACAUGAAAAAGAAACAGAAAGGCAUCACUCAGUUAACUUUGACAGUUGGCAAGUCACAUACAUGUAGAGGUUUAAGGGAAAUUGAUGGAAGAUGCUUGAAAAGCCUCAUUCCAAGAAACAUUUCUAAUUGCUUUUGACGAGAGCUAUCCACAACUGCAUUCUUAUAUCUUCUUUGCAGAGUGAUUUUCACAUUCUGUGCAGCAGAAAACUGUUUAAACUUUCCUGUUUCUUCACUGAAUAUGCUAAGUAUUUGGCUAUGCAUUGCUUUGGAACCUGUGUAAAGAGUAGCAUGAAUAUCCCCAGCAAGUAAGAAAAGGUCAGAAAGUUGAGAUACAGGAGAUAAAAUUGUUGAUCUUUUGAACUCCUCAAAUGUCAUAUCAAAUCUCUUCCAUGGUUUAUCAGGACAUGGAUGCAUCCAUGUGGUGGUUCUGGUAUUAUGAUCGAUAUAAUACGUUUUUCCUGUCACGGCAUCAGAUCGCUUCUCCCACCCAGGUGGCAGUGGAGCAGUAUAUCCACCAUAAUUAUUUCUCAUUGACUGAUAACCAAAUGCCAAAUCACUAUCAAGUGAUAUACCCAGUCGUCUACAUUGCUCAGUGAAUACUUGGAUGCAGCCAAAAAAACUAGCAGCAUUGGUCCUAUCCAAAGAAUCGGCACAGUUAAAACGUACUAUCCCAUUUUGAUGUGUUCUUAAGCAGAAUGCACCUUCAAAAUCAUCAUUGUAGAUAAUUUCACCUCUGCAAUCAUUUAUUCGUUGUCGGGAAGGCAAAUAAUCCCCUUCAGAUAUACCUAUGGAUAUAGUAGGUGCUUUCAGAAGUAACCAUAACCCUUCAAUUGUCAUUUGUUCACCUUUUAAUUUUGUACUAGCAUGCCAAUCAUAAUUUAUUAAAUGGACCCGAGUAAAAGGAAGCUUCCCAGAUGAUCUAAUAAAGUUAAUAGACUCCUCGAAAUGGUGAACCAAAAGGGACUCUGACUUUCCUUCACCAUUUCGAAGUAAGUUUAUGCAUACAAUGGGAACCAAAGCUUUCCUGUUUGAUUUCUCACCAGCACGUACAUCUAGAUUUCGAGCAUCAUAUCUCUUACUCAGUCUUCCAUAAUACUGUACACUUCCUUUAUAAGGAUCACAAUCAGAAACAUAAAUUUCAGCUUCUGCAGCUGUGAUUUUCAGUUCUGCACCCCACCAGAUAGGAAUAGUGCCUCUUCGCCACACAUAUGUGUUGAAAGGUUCACUUUGACCAGAUCGUUUGGGAACCCAUACAAGUUGUUCACACUCCACUUCAUUUCCUGUAAAAUGGAACCUAAUAAACACUUGGCAUGUGGCAAUACUAAGGUGCACAAAAUGAUGAUUAUCAAAGCAAAACAGAAUAUAUGAUGAAUAAAUGAUAGAAAAGAAACAGUAAGCACAAGUUACACUACAAAAAGAACUAGGGUGAAAUAAGUGAUUGUGAAACUUUCCCUAUUUGGGAAAUUUAACGAAGAUAUGAAUGCAUAAUGGGAAGCAAAAUAAGGUUCUAUUUAAUAACAUAAAACAAGUAGAGCUACUGAAACCAUAAUUUACAUGAUGAAGUAUGAAAAUCAUAAUCAAACAAUAUUAAGUUAAAAUAAAUUAUUAUUUCCUUAAAGUCAGACAGAUAGCUAUUCUUACGGGUAAAUAAAUCAACUCAUUAUAAGAUGGAAAAAUGCAAGUUAAACAGUCAAUGAUAGAUAUAUUCACCUGUACUGAAACACGAAUUUAGCCCUCUUGCCAAGUAUCGAGUACCUGGGUGAAGCCUACUCCGACGAGCUGUGAGAACCACAAUACCUUCUAGUUGACCUGAGCUUCCAAAACUUCUACAUUCUGCAAACCCCUACACAUCAAGACCAAGUGAGACAAAAGAAUGCACGUGCGAAUUUCACAUCUUAAUUGCUCUAUACAUGUACUAUCUUUGGUACAGCAUUGCAAUAAAAAAUAAUCACUAAUUGAGACAGAGCCUGCACAAGUACGGAGGUAGAAAAGAAAAAUUCAUCAACCUCCUAACAAACUCUUCUUUCUUGGCCCAAUUUGCACAAACAAAACAUUUCAGCUAGCAAGAUAACACAGGUAACCAGGGUUCAAAAAACAGUCUGCAACUAAAAUGUCGAUCACAACAUCAAGGUUUGUGGGGUGUAUUAACUGCAACACAACGACACUUGUGGCCACACUUGUUUGCAAUUUCGUACAAAAUCUCGGAACAACAAAACUACAACCGUGACUAAAAUUCAAAACCUUGAGUAACAUAAACUGUAUUGAACUCCCGAAUUCAGAGUAUCCUACUUUCACGCCAUUAACAAGAUAACAAGCAACCGAUAUAUCAAGAUCAAGUUAUACUACAUUCACUCAAUUGCACAUUCGGAGUAUCCAACUUUCACUACUUUCUUGCAAUUCUCAGGGUUCAACAGACAAUCGAUACUUUAAAAUUAAGUUAUACUACAUGCACUCAAAUGUAAACAGAAGAGAACACAGAACCUGAAGUAGCGUGACGCAAUGCCGCGGCAAGCCAAUAUCAACAAACGGCGUAGAAAACCAUGCGUUCCAAACAAACUCCUCAUCAGGUUGACUCACCGGGAAGCGGCUCGGAAAAGGGCGCGUAACAUCCCUCGUCUCGCAGAAGUAAUGCUUCCCGUCAAUAUCAAGCUCCGUCAACUCCUGCACGUUCUUGGCCUCUCCUUUCCCCAGCGCCACCGCGUUGUGCAGCGGAAUCCUGAUCCAGAGGCUCUCCGCCACCGUGUACACGCAACCGCCACCCGGCAUAUUGGGAAUGCUGGCAGUCAACCUCGUCGCGACGAGGAGCAUCGCCAAGUUCCCGAACGCGGCGUAUCCUAAUAUCGCCCUUGCGGAAGUCCUGCUCUUGCAAGCAAAUCGCGAUCCGUUGGUGACGAAAUCCAAGGCCUCACCCUGCGACUUGAACAGAUCGAACCCUGGCCUAGCAACGUAGCGAAGCGCGCCGGUGGUGGGAUCGACGUAGAUUACCUGAGUGUCCGUUCUGGUGGAGAGGCUCACAAUGAUGCAGACAUCGUCGGAGUCCAGCGUCACCACGAUAACCGACGUGUCCCUCAAAGCACCUGAAAAUUAACGAACGCGAAUUCGUUGGGAAAUGAAAACUGAUCGAACGAUAAUGUAACGGGUGGAUCCAGCUUAACUUACCCGGUGAUUCCAUCGGUUAGGAGUUGAAUCGAAGGCGCGCCACCGCUCAUAUACGGAAUCGCUUCCGGCGAGGGACGGAGGAUUUGGGGAUUGAUUCCGACGGAAUCAAGUUCACAACCACCAAAAUGAGUAUUGCCUCGCUUCAGGCGAGCUAAUAUAUUUUACGAUAAAUGAAUUGAACACUAAAGAAUUUGUUUGUUUUAUCAUGUACUGUAGUAGAACGUUAAUUUAGUGAUUUCAUAUUCCUUUUCUAGAAUUUAAUUUAAGUAAAAAUACAAAAUUAAAAUUAAUCUGAAUAUUAGAUUUUAAAUCGUUAAAAUAAGAUAACACAUUGCUGAUAAAAAAAAUAAAAAAUAAGACAACACAAUAAAAAAAAUACAGAUACACGAGUGCCAUGUAUUUUACUAAUUUGUAUACCACACAUUAACGCCAAUUAUCUGUUAGUUCCACUUUGCAUAGAAACCAUUUUUUUCUUUUUAAAUUAUUUUUUAAUAUUCAUUUUUAAACAAUUCAAAAUAGUUUAAUAAACUUGAACACAAAACUUCAUUGUUUUUGUAAUUUAUUUCAGUGUAAGCAAUUUUUUUUUUCAGUUUAGACAAUUUUUCACGGAUCAAUUCAAUUAAGAUUAAUUUGUCCAUUUCUGAUUCUAAUUAUUUUUCCUUGACAUAGAUACUUUUUAUGCUUUAUUGAGUGAUUUUAAUAAACAAACAAGUCAAAACUCACACACACAUAUAUAUACUAUGAAUCUAAAAUACAUCUAUGAGGUCCAUCUAACAAGAUUUUUUAUAAUCUUAAUAACAAAUAAGGUCCAAUUUUUUUAAUUGAAAAAUGCAAAAAAAUCCUACAAACACUUAAUACAAAAUUACAUAAUUUAUAUUUUACACUCAUAAAAUAAAUACCCUAUUUAUAUGUGCAAAACAACAACAAAAAGGUUGCAUGUAAUGUAAUAUAAAGAAGAACAAUAAAUAAAAAAUAAAAAUAAUAAUUUUUAAGAAAAUUCAACAAUUGUUAAUAAAAAAUAUAAAUAAAUAAUUUUUAUAUUUUUAUUUACUAAACAAAUUUGCAUAAAAAAAUAGAUUUUUCACCUAAAAGUUGAGCCACACAUGUAAUAUUUUAUAGUGAGAAAAAGAUGUAUACUGAUUGGUUUAACUAAACAAGGCUUGAUCAACAUUAGUUUCAAUUUUUUUUUUAUAUUCAAGAUAAGUUUAAUUUGGAAAACAUAUUUGUGUUUAUAACUAUUAAUAAGAAUUAAUAUUUCAAUACUUUUAAUUUCAAUUUUCAUUCAAAUAAUUUUAAAAAUUAAAUACUUUUACAGUCAUUUAAGAAAUCAAUUUGAAAUUCUUUUACAAAUAUGAAAGGAAAUCUAUCAAGAGUUAUUUGUUCUGAUAUCUCAAAGAAAUAGCUGAAAAGAGAAAUAAUUGGUUAGAGAACAAUUACUAGUGGCAGUUUUCCUUCACCCACAAUAAUGUUAUGGAAAGACCAAAAUAUUUUUAUUAUUUUUUUAAAAACCCUAAAAUACACUUUAACUGUAUUUAUUUUUUUCAUUCUGUUUUAUUCAAUCCGAAAAUUUUUUGGAUUGGCACUUUCAGUAAAAUUUUGGAUCCACCAAUCCGAAUGUGAAAAUAUGUAUUUCACGUUCAAAAAUCCAUCAUUAAAAAAAAAACAUUCCGGAUCCACCAAUACAUAACAAAAGUAUGCAUUUCGGAUCUCCCAAUCCGUAACAGAAUCAGGCUUCCGGAUUCAUCAAUCAAGAAAUCAAUAAUUUAUGCAAAAUUUGCUUCUGAAACACCCCCUCAUCCAAAAAAAAAAAAUGAAUCAGUCUGGGUUGAUGAAUUUGUAGCACACUCCCAGAUCCGAUUUCCGGUAACCAUGGUGCCCUUUUUCAAAUAAAAGAUCAAGGCUAAUUUCGGGAUUAAAAAAAUUGUGGGGGUGCAGGAAGAAAAACGUAGGGGUGCAGGAAGAAGAAGUCAUUACUAGUUUAUUCUGAAAAUUGGGCCAGUGUAAGAUAUCCAAAAAAGAAAGCCCAUACCAUUAAACACUGAUUCUGAAACUGAAACCAUUCUCUGCACAAAUCAAGAGUGAAACAACGACAAUGAAACCUCCUUCUCAGAGAUGGGGCUACAUUCGAAUCAUGAGUGGUACAAUCCUCGGAGGCGUCCUCGGAUUCUACGUUAUGCACCGUCUUGAAUCUGACUACAAGGUUAGCAUGCCAUCACUCUCUUUUCUCUUCUCAAUUGCUUCUUCUGCCUCUUCAAUUUUAUGGCUUUCUGAAGCUACCCAAUGGAGCCUCGCUAGGAUAUUCUGAAACCCUUUUCCCAUUCAAAAGAUUUUUUUCAUGUGUUUGAUGUGGGUGUACUUGUGCUGUCUACAGGAGAGAAUGAAUGAGAGGCUGAGAAAUUAUGAGGCUGAAUUGAGGAGGAAGAAGGACGAGAGAUUGAACGAGUUUGAGGAAUCCUCCAAUUUAUGAAAAAUCGCGUUUUUUUAUACUUUUUGAUGUUCUCCUUUUCUUUCUACGUUUGAUUUAUGAGAAGAAUUGGAAGAAUUGUUUCUAUGUAUGCUAGAAGAUUGUUCCUUUACCCUUUACAUAUACUGUUAAAAGUGCUUAAAGCCUCACUGUAAACCCAAUUGUUUACUUCAACCCUAAGAACGAGAUUUGCAUAGUAGAAGAUGAAGAUUAAAUGUAUUAUGUUUGAAUAUAUGGCAAUAUCAUGAUUCUAAUUCAAAUCAAACCAAUCCCGUUUCAGUGAUUCAAAACACAAGCUAUUAAUAAAUUAUCCUAUUAGUUUUCUGCAGCAGAAGUGCCAACCAUUUUCUUCCUUUGCUUCACUCUUCCCUGUGCCCUCUCACCAUAUCAUCUCCUCCCAUGUUCCCACCAACGACAAUUUCGAUCAAGUACGACAUGAAACCCUUUGAUAUGUCAUUCUGUUUUAUUACAUCAAUAAAUUUGUUCAGGAUCAUUGUAUAUUUGAAGGGCUUCAGUGGUUUGUUCACCAAUGUUACAUGGAUGAAUGCUUUGUUAUCAUUAAUGUAAAAGAGAAGGCGAAUAUACAUGGUAUGAGAUAGACAAGGGGUAUAUGUUUUAGUGUAGCAUGUGUAACAAGGGACUUGGUGAGGAGUAAGAGGUUUAAAAAACCUUGGAAUAUUUUGUUGAGAUUCAACAAUAAACCUUAAACUUAACAAAAGGUUAAAAAAAAUCUCUAUUAAUUAAAUUCAUUUCCGGGGUUAUAUUAACCUUUUGUAGUCGCUGUUUUAUAUUUUUGAGUCUUUAGUCAAUUUUAAUCGGUAAAAUCAUCUUAAAACAGUUUGAUUUUCAUUUUAUAAUCUAGUUCAAUCAUGUUCCAAGUCAUGUGCAUCCAAAUUUUUCAUAAAAACUCCAAUGUAUGAUAGGUUACCAUAUGUUUGACGAAAUGUCUAGUUGUAGUUUGCAAAUUGUUUAAGAAAAUGCCUUAAUAAAAAAAUUUGUAGUGCGUUGUGCGCUUUUUAAUUUAUGUUCUUGAGUUCAUUGACUUAUUAUUAUACCAUUAAUAAGCUUCAUAGAAUCAGGUUUCAUAAUGUCUUCAUUGUUUUGUUCAAUUUCAUUGGAUCCUAUAGGUUUCCAUUCUCGUUGGAAAAUUUGAGUAGAAAUUUCACUGGAUUGAAAUAAUUGUUUUGAGCUAUUAACGCUAUAAAAUUGUAUGAAAUUUUAUAUUUAAGCACUUCAAUCUAUGUUUAAUAUUUAGAAAAAAAAAUCAUAAAUAAUAAAAGCCUGGAUAAUCAAGUGCUAGAAAAAAAAUCUGGAAACGGUGUGCGAUUUGCUCUCGGUAAAAACUUUAUUUGGACGAGGUGUUUUUGCUCACAUUUUCUUACGAAAUUUUCAUAUAUUGAGUUAGAAAACUGUGAUAAAAAUUGCAAACAAUAAAACAAAAAUUACAUAAAUUUGGGAAUUAACGCGGCCUGAACCAAUCUAGUUUGAAUUUUGAUUUUUAAUCCACUCUAAAACUAUUUUUAGGUUUCCUUUUGGUGUGCUAUCUUUUAUUUUGUGUGCCUUAAUUUCUUGUUUGUCUAAAUUCUUUUGAAUUAUUUGAUUUUGUCAUAUAUCAAUUGAUGUAAUCCAGUUAGUCAAGAAGAUGAUCAAGGAGACAAGAGACACUUCCAAUUUUGAUCCGUCAUCUCAGCAUACAAGACAAAACCCCACCAAAUAUCGAAAGGACCUCAGCAGAAGGGGAAUUGGGCAUAGACCAGAAAAUCAAAUGUUCUUUCUUCUGAUCUUCUUACAAGACAAAAUAUUUGUAAAUAAAUUGGCUCACUUUAGGGAUCCAAAUAGAAGAAUAAGCUAUAGUAGGUUUACAUAGCAUAAAUAGGAGUGUACUUAGCAAAAUGGGCUUGUUCCAAGCCCAUUUUUCAUGGCACAUGCACCUAAAAUUAUGGUUUUUAACCUAACUUCUACAAACUAUGCCUAAAGUGCAGUUUUGACCAUGGUCAACACCCUACGCAACCCCUCUCCCCUUCCUUUUCUACCCUCUCUCAUCUUGCUCUCCAAGUCACUCCUUCUCUCUCUCCAUGUAUUUGGAAAUUGAAGUUGAAUAGUAAAGAAACUCUGUAGGAGUAUUUUGUGAGACUUGUGAGCUCUCAUUUUUGGGUUUUAUCUUGGGUGGGUAACAUCUCAAGUGGCGUCUCUUUGCACCACUCAUCUUGGAGUCCUCUCUUCUCCAAGUGGCGUGACAUCUUUCUUUCUUCCUAAGCUCUCUUCAUCUCUUCCACUUUUUUAUCUUUCUUUGCACCCUCCAUUCCAUUCCUCUUUAUACUUUCAUGUUUGUCUCUUAAAUUGUUAGUUAUCUUUGCCUUAUUCUCUUCAAUUCCGCACCAUUGCAUCAUUUUCACCAUAUAAUUGUGUUUUUCUUUUUGUCCCUUAGAAGUGAACCUUCACACUUACUUAACCACUUGGUUAAGUUCGUGUCCAGUGGGGAUCUUCUUUGAUUCUCACCUUACAUUGCUAAAAAUAAAAAAUCAUAAACAAAGAGCAACCAAUAAAAUGCGCAAUCCUAAAAUCAACUCACAUCAUGUGGUAUUCAAAGCAUGAUUUUAAUUGUCCUAAAUUCUGUUUUUGAAUUUUUUUUUGUGUGAUUUUUUUUUCCUUACCUCUUUUGCUUUAGUCUUAUGUUCUUAGUGUUCCAGGAGUCUUUAAAUCCAUUUUGCUUAUUUUGAUUUUAAUUGUGAAGAACUAAAAACAAAUUAGAAGUUGUUUGAGUAGUGGUUGAUUUAAUUCCAAACAUAGAAUGCAAGUGUUCAUAUGAUUUAAAUCCAAACCCAACAUCUUUUUUCGAAAAUUGAAAAGUGAAAUAACAACAAAAAAUAUGCAUGCAAAAAGGAUAUGGAACUUAUUAAUCCAUAAAAACAAAGACAAAAGAAAUUGAGAGCAUUCACAUUUCAACCUUCACUUUGCAAAUCACUAAAGAGGAUUCUAAGUAUAUGGAAAAUUGUGUUCAUACUUGUGAAAUUUAAUCCUUCUUGCUUUCACAAUUUCUAAGGACAUUCAAACCUUCAUAAUUAAAGUUUAAGUAAGUUUCUUUGAGUCUUUUUUUUAAGUGUUUUUCUUGUUUGUCUUCUCUAAAGUUUUGUUACUAUCCUUUUUCCCAUUUGGUUUAGCUUUCUUUCUUUUAAGCUUUUCUUGCUUGUCUUUCAAAUCUUUCUUAAAUUUUGUUGUGGGGAUCUUUGGUGAGCAAGUGUAAGAGCUUUGUCAUCUUUCACUUGAAGUGUUUACUACCAAUUGUAAACCUUGUUUUUAGAGUGCAAAUCUUUCUUGAGUGCAUUACAAUUCUUCCCUCCUUUACUAAAUAGCUGAGUGAUACAAGUGAGUGAGUGGACAAGAUUGUUAUUUUUCACUAAUUGUUUGUUUAGGGUUUCAGGUUUAAGAUUUCUAGAAUGUCUAUAAUACAUUUCAGAAUGUGUUUUCUGGAAUAAAUUUCCUGGAAUGUAUUCUAGAAAAAGCUUUCCAGAAUGAGAUCGAAUUAAAUGGGACAUUUUGGUCAUUUUAUCUCUUUGAUGGGGUGUGGGAAGAACUUUGACAAGUUGUAAGAAGAAACACCCUUAUUGGAAUAGUGAGUUAUAGCUUCACUUUGGUGUUAUGAGAAAGUUGGCCCAUCAUUUUUUUUUUAUUUUUUUAUUUUCAUUUUGUAAUCCAUUCUAAUGCCUAUCUUUAGGUGUUUCCUUUUUUUUGCUUACUUUCUUUGAUAGCCUUUAAUUUCUUGCUUGUCUUGAAUUUUUUUAAUAAUCUUUGAGCUUGUCUCAUCUCUAAUCUCUCUUGAGUUUCACUUUUCAAAUUUAGCUUUUAUUGAUUUUAUUAUCGACCUUUUGAAGUAGAAUAUACCUUGGAUUUGUUCUUUGUGAGAAUUGAGUUAACUUCUAGGUAGCAUCCUAGAGAAGGAAAAAGACUAUGCAAGGGGUACUCACCUUUGGAGGACAAAACAAGUAAAGGCUUGGAAAGAAACACUUUUGAGAAAGAAGAGAAUAACUUCAUAGAUUUUAAAUUUUUGUGUUAUUUCAAUUUUUUUAAUCGGCUGUUAUCUUUACUUUAGGUGUCUUUGAAGAGCCUUUGGUGUUAUUCCAUCUCCUGAAAGUUUUAUUUUAAUUGCUUUCUUUAGAAAACGCUUUUAGACAAUGAGUGUAUCUUGAAGGCUCACAAAUGCUUACAAGUCUCAACAUUAGGUUUCGUCUAGAUUAUUUUUUGCUAUUUAAAUUCUAAUUUUUAAGAUUUCUUUUACUUUCUAUCUUUAGAAAACUCUUUGUGUUGAGUUUUCAAUGGAAGGAUAUUUGUUUUUUUUUUAUCAGCAAUGAAUUAAUGAAAUAAAAUGGGACACUUAAGGGGUGUCCCAACCCGUAUACAAGAACGCUCUUAGCUUAGGCAAACAGAAAUACAUAACACGGUUAAAAGAUAGAUCUCUUAACACUCCCUUGCCCUGCAUCAAACGGGUACUACAUAGAAUCAGCCUACAUACACACCUACUACUAAGAUAAUUGUACAAAAAAGUCCAAAACUGGAUGGUUACUGUAGGAGUAAUAAAACUCCCUUUCUUUCUUUUACUUCAAAGCAAAGUACUCCAACAUGAGAACACGACCAUAAUCUGCAUCUCUUAAGCAAUGUAAUGUUGUUCUGGAUCUAUAAGGCCUUCAUUCACACCGGUCCGUGCCAGACCGUGUAACAACUCCACAAAGUGAGUUCUAAUAUUUCCAUUGCACACCCCUACUCCAGUACCAUGCUUCGGCAAACCAACCUUGGGUCAUCUAAAAAACCGAUCCAACCAUACAUCAUGAUGUUAGCUACUUCCAUACCAGACCAUCCAGCAGCAAAUCCACAAAAACAACUGCAUGAACCAGCAACCCAUCCCAUACUGCCACACCUUCACCUCCACACUAACUCGGACCAUCCCAACCAUAAUUGACUCACAAGGUCCUAACAUAUUACAAAUGCCAAUCCCAACAGAGAUACUACUUCUACAAACACCAGUAGAGGGGCAAAGACCAUGCUACUGGAAUUAGAGAAGAGCACUCUUCCCUUUACAACAUAACCAACCAUAGCAGCAUGAAUCACAGUAGAUCAACCUAGGAGAUAUCCUGCCUCUGCUACCUAUCAGCUUCCAAGACCACUUCACUACCUUGUAACACAGCUCCCAACACUCUCUACCUUCUUUUAACCUCGAGACUUAAUAACUGGAUUACUCCUACUUGCUUGCCCUCACCCUAGAAUUCCGUUUAAGUUGACCUUUUGCACCAUCAAUUUCAUUCAAAUCAACUGCCAAGGCAGAGCACCACAAAUGAUGAGAAACUUUGAUAGGCAAGUGCAGCAACACGAGCCACAUCUUUGUGCAUAAAGCUUCUUCAUAUACCUUCCUCAAGCCUUGCAAAGACUUGGUGAAGGAUAUUUGUGAAGUGCAUUGGGAUAAGUUUUGGCUAGAAAAAACUUGGUAUUUAAGAGUGUCCAAUGUGACCCACCUCUCUUUCCUGAAAAUAUACCUUGUAUGCUAAACUCACUUUCCUUCUUGUGAAAAAAUAUUUUAAUACAAAACUUAAGAUGUCUAGGCAUACUUCUAAGAACUUAGGAUCUUUAGAAAAAUGUUUCAAACUUUUGGAUGCUAAAUUUCAUAAAAGGAAAGAGGAAAUUUUGAAUGAAAGAGAUGAUCAACUUGUCAUUAUUGUUGAGAAACUUAGAACUUUAAGGCAAAAAGAGUAAAAGAGCUUGUAGAAAAAAGGAAGAAAAAUUAUAAAUGGAGAAAAAAAUUGUGUCAAAAGAGAAAAAUAAUUUAGAGAAAAAUUACAAGAUCUUAAAGAAAGAAAGAUGUAGGAAAAAAGAGAGAGAAGAAAAAGAAAAAAGGAAAAUCCUUUGUCUAGAACUGAACCAGACGUUGACAUAAACUCUUCUUUUAUAGAAAACCCUUGUGAGGAUGUCCUUGAAGAAACAUAUGUGUCUGGAGCUAAACUAGAUAAAGUUAGAAACAUUUUCUCCACAAAAAGUCAAAUGAGGGGUUGUUUGAAAAAGAAAAAGAGGAAUCUAGAAAGGACAAGGAAUAUCUUAUAACAUCCCAUACCUAGUUGAAAAUGAAUCCUUAAAGGGAAAUUGCAAUACUUUGAACUCUCCGUAUGAUACUUACUCAAAAAUCACAAAAACAAUACUUUGUAAUUGUUGUUGCUUAUCAUGGGCAAUGAACAACACAAAGUGAACAAAAUAUUUUUGAAAUGGUCUUAUUUAUUUCCAACAAAACUUUUAUAAAAAAAUAACAAAGGGCCUUAUUUCUUUAUUUUUUUCAUUGAAUACAAUUGUCUUAAAUUUCUUAUCUCACUUUUCUUUGAUGUCCACUGUAGGUUAAUAUUUGACCUUGGAGGAAAACACCUAAUCAAAUAAAAAAAGAUUGUUGUCAUUGAGCAUCAUUCGAAUAUGAAGACAAAUCAUUCUCAAGAGGGAGGGAAUGAUGGAAACUAUUAGGCCUCAAAGAUAGACGAAGAUCGAGCUUUAAUGAAGAGAUCGUAGAGUAUUUUUUCUUCUUCUUAGCCUUGUAAAAAUUGUAUAGGAUUUAUUGGGUGUUUUAUUUUGGACCAAAGUAAAGUAGGGUGUAAAUGAAAAAAUGAGUGGGGUGUAAAAUAGGAAAAUAGGGGUGCAAAUAGGAAAAUAGGCGAGGAUGGCAUGAAAGUCCUCAUGUCCUCUCCUCAAUGGAGAAUAUUUUUCCUCCAAUGAAGAUAUGCCACUUGUUACUCUUCCAACGGAGAGGAUUUGAACCUAUAAGGAGGUAAACGCUUGUCACACUCUCAUUUUUUAGAGUUUUUUUUACUAUAAAGCACUCUCAUUUUUUAGAGUUUUUUUUACUAUAAAGCACUCUCAUUUUUUAGAGUUUUUUUUACUAUAAAGAAGAGUCUCUUGUACAUAUAUUUUCAACUUGGAAUCAGUAACGAAAUGCUGUCCAUUUUUUGCCAUUCUACUUGUUUCUAAUAGGUUAGUCUCCUUCAAGGUGAAAAAGAAGACCAAAGAUGUUUAUCCUAAAGAGGUUUAGACAACAAAGUGCUUAGGCUUGCAAAUUGGCAACAUAACACUCAUAUAAUUGAUCUUAGAAAACAUGAGCCAAGAAUCUCCUUAUAUAGGUGUAGGAGGCCGACCAACAAUUUCAAAAUUUGGGAUAUAAUUAAGCCCGAUUAUACCCUAGGUAGGUUUUAGAAUCCUAACCCUAACCCUAAUUUACUUAAAGAAAAAUUACAAGCAAAUUUGCUCUUAUACUUUUAAGCAAGAAAAUUAGAAUCCCACUCUACAAUUUGUACUAGGUUAUGACAUUUUUGAACAUGUAUAAGAGAGUGUCUCUGUCAUCAGUAGUAGAGUCUCAGUCUUCUUCUAUCCUCCUUGCUAUAGCUCUAGUGGUUGGUCCUGAGUUGAAGCCUCUACCAUCAACAAUGAGGGUUUUGUGAGUAUGAGAGGGCACACGUUUAAAGAAGGGAAAAUUUCUAUGCCCAAGGAUCACAUAGAAAACUCUUUGUCAAAGAGACUCAAGAAGGAGGCCUCAUGGAGACACUUUGAAGUCCGGGCCCAUUCGACUCAUUCGACUCAACAUCAGUCCGGGCCCGGACGACUUGACAUCGGCAUGGGCCCGUUCGGCUCGACAUCGACCCGGGCCCGAACGACUCAACAUCGGCCUGGGCCCAAACGACUCGACAUCGGCCUGAGCCUGCUAGGCUCGACAUCGACAUGGGCCCACUCGUCUCGACAUCAACGUGGGCCCGUUCGGCUCGACAUCGGCCCAAGCCGGCUCGGCUCGACAUCGACUCGUGAUUGCUCAGCUCAACAUCUACCUGAGCCCGCUCGACUCGACAUGGGCUUGGGCUCGCUCGACUUGACAUGGGCUCAGGCCCGCUCAACUUGACAUGGGACCGGUUCCACUCGACUCAACUUGAGCCCGGGCCUGCUCGAUUCGACAUCGGCCCAGGCCCGCUCGAAUCGAUAUCGGCCCGGGCCUGCUCGAUCGAAUAUCAACCUUGGCCCGCUCGGCUCGACAUCUGCCUGGGCUCGCUCGGCUCGGGCCCGCUUGAAUCGAUAUCGGACCCGAAAGACUCAGCUCAACAUUGGCCUGGACCGACUCGACUAGACAUUGGCAUGGGCCAACUCGGCUCGAUAUCGGCCCAUAUCGACUCGAUUCAACUUGGGCCCGGACGACUCAGGUUGACGUGGACUUGGGCCGACUUUGCUUAACCUUAGCCCAGAUUGCCUUGACUCAACCUGGAUCAGGCCAAGUCAAAAGGCAACCCAAAGUGCAAUUUGGAUAAUCUAAAAAUGUAUCCAAUGUAUAUUUAAUCCAUAUCCAAUUAAAUGGAUUGGAUUUAUAAUCCAAAAAUAUGGAUUUGGAUUUGAGAUAAAUGCAUUUAAAUGGAUUAAAACUAAUAUGGAUUUGGAUAAUUAUGGAUUGGAUUUUGUAAUUUAGAUUUUUUGCCCACCCUUAUUCGUGACUUCGUGGGAGAUUGUUGGGUAUGAAGUCAAGACCAAUUGGGUUUGGCUGACUAGACACCAUGUUUAGUGAGUGAGCUUUAUCAUUGUACACAGUUGAAGCACAAGUGAACAUUGUUCCAUGGCUUCAAAUGGGAGAUUGUUGGGUAUGAAGCCAGGACCAAUUGGGUUGGGCUGACUAGACACCAUGUUUAGUGAGUGGGCUUAAUCAUUGUGUCCCUUUUAUAAUCUCUAUUUAAAGAGAUCAUUGUACUUGUAAUUGGUCUGCAACAUGACAAAAAUGAAAACCUAAUAGUUGCAUGUGUGGAUGUAGGUUGUAGUGUGCGACCGAACCAUGUUAAAUUUUGUGUUGUUUAUUUUUUGCAGUUGAUUCGUGAUUAUGUGUGUUGCUUCCGCAUGCGUUUUUCCCAUCAAGAGAAUCAUUUUAUUGGUAUAAUAGGCUUCUAUCUAGUAUAUUAGAAUUCUUUAUUAAUAGGUAUAGUCUACAUAUGUAUAGUUUUUGUUAAUUUGGUCUAAUCCCUCCAUACUUUUGUAUUUUCUUUCUUUUUCUUUUUUUUAAUAAUAUUUUUUUCAUGUGAUGACAAAUGAUUGUUGUUACUUGAGAUGUCAGUCUAAUUGAGAUGUAAAGUAGCAUAUGCCUAACAUAAAAACUUUUUAUAAAAAAAAAAUAUUGAAAUAUGAUAAUAAAUUAGUGUAAUUAUACCUCCUUAAUUUGGGUUUUUGACCAUGAUGGGGUUAUUUCUUUUUGUUUUUACCAAAAUGGGGUCCGUUUAAAAAAAAUUACAAAUUUAGGCAAGUUGUGCCAAUUUGGCUCAACUUCGUAUGCACAAAUCGUUCCAAUUUGACACGACUCUUCCAUGUCAUACUAAAGUCGUGCCAACUUGACACGACUUCUACCCUGUCAUACUGAAGUUGUGUCAACUUGACACGACUUCUGCCACGUCAUAAUUUUUUUUCUUCUAAAUUUUAUUGUUUAUAUAUUGGGUAGUAAGUUAUGUAAUGUUAAAAAUUAAUUUGAUACAUAAUUUUUAAGGAAAAAAAUUGGAUAUAUAAUUAUUUUUAAAUUAUUUAAUUAUUUCAAAAUAAUUAUAAAUUAUUUAUAUUAUUUGAAUUAUUUAAAAUUUAUAUAAUUAUUUUUAAAUUAUUUAAUUAUUUAAUUAUUUCAAAAUAAUUACAGUACUUAUACCUUUUUAUAUUUUAAUAUAAAUGACAUUAAAAAAAUAAACAGGUUUAAAAAAUGUAUUGUUUUAAUUGUGAUAAAAAAAAUUAUUACUUCAGAAAAAAAUGAAUAAUUGUGAUACACGAUUAUCUAAUUUUUUGUUCUUUAAAACUAAAACUCUUAGAAAAUUAUGUAUCAAAUUAAUUUUUAACAUUACAUAACUUACUACACAAUAUAUAAACAAUAAAAUUUUAAAAAAAAUUAUGACGUGGCAGAAGUCGUGCCAAGUUGGCACGACUUCAGUAUGACAGGACAGAAGUCGUGCCAAGCCAAGUUGGCACGACUUCAUUAUGACAUGGCAGAGUCGUGUCAAAUUGGGACGAUUUGUGCAUAUGAAGUCGUGCCAAAUUGACACGACUUGCCUGAUGACUUUUUACGGCAAGUGCACCGCGUUUGUCAGAAGUAAUAAUUGUCCCUAAGGACGGAUAUCGAUCCCACAAGGAACAGUGAAUUAUCGAGUACAAUAAUCGCUAAAUAUAAAACCAGAACAAUUAAAAGAGUUUUGAAUUAAUUGUGUUGGCACUGAUCAAUAAGAAAACAAACAAAGAAUUAGUUGUUUCAAUUGGAAAAAUAAGGAUUAGUUUCAUCUCUCUCACUCUCAAGUAUUUUGAUUAGCAUGUCAAUAUUAAGUUCUUUGAUUGAAAUUGAUGCCCGUAUAAAAAUCAUUUAUAUCGAUUCCUCGUAUAUAAAAUCCUUAAGAAUGUUCCCUAACUAUCGAUCCCUCGCAUAAUUAUAAGAACAACUUAGAACGAAGCUCAGACGUUUAAUAGCAANNNNNNNNNNNNNNNNNNNNNNNNNNNNNNNNNNNNNNNNNNNNNNNNNNNNNNNNNNNNNNNNNNNNNNNNNNNNNNNNNNNNNNNNNNNNNNNNNNNNNNNNNNNNNNNNNNNNNNNNNNNNNNNNNNNNNNNNNNNNNNNNNNNNNNNNNNNNNNNNNNNNNNNNNNNNNNNNNNNNNNNNNNNNNNNNNNNNNNNNNNNNNNNNNNNNNNNNNNNNNNNNNNNNNNNNNNNNNNNNNNNNNNNNNNNNNNNNNNNNNNNNNNNNNNNNNNNNNNNNNNNNNNNNNNNNNNNNNNNNNNNNNNNNNNNNNNNNNNNNNNNNNNNNNNNNNNNNNNNNNNNNNNNNNNNNNNNNNNNNNNNNNNNNNNNNNNNNNNNNNNNNNNNNNNNNNNNNNNNNNNNNNNNNNNNNNNNNNNNNNNNNNNNNNNNNNNNNNNNNNNNNNNNNNNNNNNNNNNNNNNNNNNNNNNNNNNNNNNNNNNNNNNNNNNNNNNNNNNNNNNNNNNNNNNNNNNNNNNNNNNNNNNNNNNNNNNNNNNNNNNNNNNNNNNNNNNNNNNNNNNNNNNNNNNNNNNNNNNNNNNNNNNNNNNNNNNNNNNNNNNNNNNNNNNNNNNNNNNNNNNNNNNNNNNNNNNNNNNNNNNNNNNNNNNNNNNNNNNNNNNNNNNNNNNNNNNNNNNNNNNNNNNNNNNNNNNNNNNNNNNNNNNNNNNNNNNNNNNNNNNNNNNNNNNNNNNNNNNNNNNNNNNNNNNNNNNNNNNNNNNNNNNNNNNNNNNNNNNNNNNNNNNNNNNNNNNNNNNNNNNNNNNNNNNNNNNNNNNNNNNNNNNNNNNNNNNNNNNNNNNNNNNNNNNNNNNNNNNNNNNNNNNNNNNNNNNNNNNNNNNNNNNNNNNNNNNNNNNNNNNNNNNNNNNNNNNNNNNNNNNNNNNNNNNNNNNNNNNNNNNNNNNNNNNNNNNNNNNNNNNNNNNNNNNNNNNNNNNNNNNNNNNNNNNNNNNNNNNNNNNNNNNNNNNNNNNNNNNNNNNNNNNNNNNNNNNNNNNNNNNNNNNNNNNNNNNNNNNNNNNNNNNNNNNNNNNNNNNNNNNNNNNNNNNNNNNNNNNNNNNNNNNNNNNNNNNNNNNNNNNNNNNNNNNNNNNNNNNNNNNNNNNNNNNNNNNNNNNNNNNNNNNNNNNNNNNNNNNNNNNNNNNNNNNNNNNNNNNNNNNNNNNNNNNNNNNNNNNNNNNNNNNNNNNNNNNNNNNNNNNNNNNNNNNNNNNNNNNNNNNNNNNNNNNNNNNNNNNNNNNNNNNNNNNNNNNNNNNNNNNNNNNNNNNNNNNNNNNNNNNNNNNNNNNNNNNNNNNNNNNNNNNNNNNNNNNNNNNNNNNNNNNNNNNNNNNNNNNNNNNNNNNNNNNNNNNNNNNNNNNNNNNNNNNNNNNNNNNNNNNNNNNNNNNNNNNNNNNNNNNNNNNNNNNNNNNNNNNNNNNNNNNNNNNNNNNNNNNNNNNNNNNNNNNNNNNNNNNNNNNNNNNNNNNNNNNNNNNNNNNNNNNNNNNNNNNNNNNNNNNNNNNNNNNNNNNNNNNNNNNNNNNNNNNNNNNNNNNNNNNNNNNNNNNNNNNNNNNNNNNNNNNNNNNNNNNNNNNNNNNNNNNNNNNNNNNNNNNNNNNNNNNNNNNNNNNNNNNNNNNNNNNNNNNNNNNNNNNNNNNNNNNNNNNNNNNNNNNNNNNNNNNNNNNNNNNNNNNNNNNNNNNNNNNNNNNNNNNNNNNNNNNNNNNNNNNNNNNNNNNNNNNNNNNNNNNNNNNNNNNNNNNNNNNNNNNNNNNNNNNNNNNNNNNNNNNNNNNNNNNNNNNNNNNNNNNNNNNNNNNNNNNNNNNNNNNNNNNNNNNNNNNNNNNNNNNNNNNNNNNNNNNNNNNNNNNNNNNNNNNNNNNNNNNNNNNNNNNNNNNNNNNNNNNNNNNNNNNNNNNNNNNNNNNNNNNNNNNNNNNNNNNNNNNNNNNNNNNNNNNNNNNNNNNNNNNNNNNNNNNNNNNNNNNNNNNNNNNNNNNNNNNNNNNNNNNNNNNNNNNNNNNNNNNNNNNNNNNNNNNNNNNNNNNNNNNNNNNNNNNNNNNNNNNNNNNNNNNNNNNNNNNNNNNNNNNNNNNNNNNNNNNNNNNNNNNNNNNNNNNNNNNNNNNNNNNNNNNNNNNNNNNNNNNNNNNNNNNNNNNNNNNNNNNNNNNNNNNNNNNNNNNNNNNNAAAAUGAUUAGGAGGCAUAUAGGAUUUUUUUUUUAUUAUUCUUAUUUACUUUUCUUUUUUAUUUUUUAUUUAAAAUAAAAUCAGCAAAGGUAAUAAAACAACAUAAAACUAAAAUGUGGACUGGGUUGCCUCCCAGUAAGUAGGAAUGGCAAAGCGGGGCGGGCCGUGCUGGCCGGCCCGCGGCCCGCAGGUAAAAAACGCGGGGCGGGAUGACCUUUUCAACCCGCUAACCCGCAUUAGCCCGCAACCCGCGCGGGCCAGUUGCGGGGCGGGGCGGGCUGGCCCGCAAACCCGCAAGAAAAAAAUAUUGACACUUAGUAGCAGCAGGCCAGCCUAAACUGGGUCAUGCCAAUUAAAUCAAUUUCAAACACGAUAAAGGAGCAAGACACCAGUUAGAGAAGGAGAAGUAAGCAGAGGGUAUUUUAGAAGUUACCCAUGACCAAGCCAAAAGUUAUCUUAUUUUUAUUGUAUUAUUUUUAUGAAAAAUUAAUUAAUUAAUUGUCAUUGUUUUAAUAUAUGUAGAUGACGGGGAAGAUUAUAAUUAUGAAAAAAUGGAUGAAGGUUCUACUAAGGUGGCAUCCAAUGUUAUUGAAAUGGAAGAAUGUCAAUAAUGUUUAUGUUUAAUGUUUUUGAAUUAAUGUUUAUGUUUAAUGUUUUGGAAUUAAGUAUUUUUAAUGUUUUGGAAGUGGAAGAAUAGUGAUAUUUGAUAUUUAUCUUAAUGUUUUGAUGUUUGACUAUAUUUGAAAAGGAAGGAAAAAAAUUAGGUUUGAUAAUAACAAAUAUAUAGGUUUAAUUUAACAAUUUUUUAAUAACAAAAUGUAAAAAAAUAAAUUUUUAAUUUUUAAAAAAAAAGAACGCGGGCUGGCCCGCAAACCUGCCAGCUCUUAUGCGGGGCGGGUUGGGAAUUCUAGCUCGCAAUAACUUUGCGGGGCGGGCCAACCCGUCCCACAUUUUUGCGGGCCAAGCGCGGGGCGAGCCAAUGCGGGGCGGGCUGGCCCGCUUUGCCAUCCCUACCAGUAAGCGUUUAAAUUUGUAAUUUUUUUUAAACGGAUCCCUUUAGUAAAAAAAAAAAAACCAUCAUAGUUAAAAACCCCUUAAUUUAUCAAAUCAACCUUAAUAGUAUCAGAUAUAUUAUUUAUUAAAAAAUAGUAACAAAACUUUCUCUUCAUAUAUUUAAGGCAAGUAUGGAAUCCCAGGAUAUUAGUAUUUUGGAAUUCUCCGGUGGUAAGAGACAAAGAAAGAGUAUAAUACAGUGUGAACAUACAUUUGAGUGGAUUAAUGGGUAGUACGUAGUAAUUAACGUAUUAAACUAGCUUAUGCUUAUUAAUUAGGUAGGUGUGGGGUGGGGGAUCACAGUUUAGAAGUAGCGUUGAGGAAGGUGGCGGCCCUUCCAAGGGAAAAGAACUUUCCGGUGGGCAAGAGAUGCGGCGGAAGCAAUGCAAGGGUGGCUGCGCAGGCGGCGGCGGCCUCGGGGGUGUGGGUACCCUUUCCCUUGGUCAUGGAGGUUUGAGUGAAACCAGGGCAAAAACAGUUCACGCUCAACCCACUUCCCUCGUAUGAAUAUCUCUUUGCCAACACUCUCGAAUACGCAUUCAGAGCCACCUUCGACACGGCGUAUUCCGUCCAGUAUGACGGCCACCCUUCCUUCUUCCACCUUCCCUCCCUCACGUCUCUAAGGAACAUACCCACCACUCCCUCUAUCUCCUCCUCCAUCAACUCCUCGCGCUCUAGCACUGCUCUUAUCUCUGCGUUUCUCACCUUCUGCUCUCACAAACACAGUUCAACAAACAACGUAUUACCAAAACGUAUAAACGAUUAACAAAUACUCCUUCUCAUAUUACAAACUUAAACACCACAUUAAAUCUGAGACCAUCAUCCUCACACUCCUUCCAAAGGUGUGAAACCAGUGUGGACAAAAGAAACACAUACAUAAAAAUAAUAAAAGGGGAAGGAGAAAGAAAAGUGUAACAAAAAGAGAGAUUCUUCCUGCUUCAUCAUUUCUCUUUCACUUUAAAACCACAAUAGCUAAUAUACUAUAACCAAAUGGUCACGUUUUAACGAAUAAAAAGAAACUAAAAAAUAAAUUCGUAAGAAAUGAGUUUAGUCAGAAAAUAAUUUGAAGUUUAAGAAAGGUAAUUUUUUUUGCAUGGAGGAACAUUUUAAGAAAGAAAAGAAGUAGAAGUAGAAGUAGAAGCAUUAGGUACAUUGAGGGAGCCAAGCCUUGAGCUAACGUUGAGCACACGAGUGAUGGAAGAAGAGCAACGGAAGAGAGGGAGAAGAGCCUGAAUGAGCAACUUGGGACCGUAGAAGUUAGUCUUCAUCACGCUUUCAGCGUUCUCCACCGAGUUCUUCUCUAGCUCAUUGUAAGAUACCCCAGCAUUGUUCACCUGAUCAUAUUACAUUCAAAACGCCUUAGUUUUGUAAUAAUUCAUGAGAUGACGGAGAUAGAAUGUGAAAAGAAAAAUAGUAGAACAAAAAUGGCACCAGAAUGUCCAAGGUGGGUCCAAACUUGGCUUUGAAGGAGGAGGCGAAGGAGGACACAGAAAGGGGAUCAGAGACAUCUAGGAGUAGAAAAUGAACGUAAUCACCAACCCCUUCUUCUCUCAGUGUCUCCACCGCAGCUUCCCCUCUCUGCUUGUUUCUAGCAGUCAGCACCACACUCACUCCAAGUUUCGCAAAACGCUUCACCAAUGCAAACCCUAUGCCCUUGUUCCCUCCCGUCACCACCGCCACCGUCUCCUUCGUCCACCACCUUCAUUCAUUCACCACUCACUUAGCACAGAUACAUUCAACAUACACAACACGUGCAACACACCCCACCAACACUUUAAUGUAUUCUUGUCUAAUCAAAACCACAAAUUUAUCUCAAUAAUAACACCUUCAAUUCAAACUUUGUUUAAACAUGAUAUCAUUCUAAAUCCAAUUCUCAUAAUCUGUUUACACAUAAGAAUAGAAAUGUUAAAAGGAAAGUCUUUAUAGUUCCUAGGGAAGACCCUUUGGAAAAAAAAACGUUGUAUUCAAAUCCUUAUUGCAAACUUGUUGAGUUACUAAUAAUCAUUGCAAGCAGAUUAGUUUCUGGAUUUUAGAACAGAAGAAACUAAUGACAGGAAAAAAAUGGUCUCUAGAAUUGAAAUUUUAAGAUAUUCUUGAUUAUCAAACAUGCAUAUGCAUAGAUUGAUGGCUACCUGCUUGAGAGGAGAGAGGGAGAAGGAAAAUAAUGCUCGGGUUCCAUAUGUGUGAGAGAGAAUAUGAAGGAGCUUAGCUUCAAUUAAGGAAGACAGUGAUGAGAGCAAUGGAAUAGGUGAGUGGAUGGAUAUACAUAUAGAGAAAGAUCCACACAGAAACAUGCAUUAUUGGAAUGAAGGAACAAUCAUAGAACCAAACUAGAAGAGAGACACAUAAUAUAUGUAGACUUGGCUAGGGACAGUGGCGGUGGAACUAUAAAAUAAGCAGCAAAAUGCAACGUGCAAUAUUUUUACUAAAUCUGCAUUGUUAAGUCUUGCAGACGUAACCUCAUAUAAUAAAACGCACGGUUAAAUGCAUUCUAUAAUUAAUCUUUCCUCACCUUGAACGAUUAAUUUCUUAAUCCAUAAAGAUAUAUUUUUCUAUGUGUUUAAACCUAUGGAACUCUUGAUUACAUAUGCUAAAAAACAAAAACUAUCUUGUGAAUCAUAUUACACCAUAAAUUGAUUUUUUAUGAGAUCAUUUGAAUUAUUUAAAAUAAGUUCAUUGAUUUCUUUUAUAUGAAAAAUGUAUUUUACACACACAAAAUGUGCACAAUGACAGAUUUCUCUUUCUAGUAUUUAUAGUUAUAAAUCAUUUAGAAGUCAAAUUCUCUAAUUAAAUACAGGAUUUUAUAAUACUUUAUGAUAAUAUUAAGUAUAAGUAAAAUAGAAGAUAAUAUAUAAUUAUAUAACUAACGUAUGCUUAAAAAAUUAUAACUAAGAAAUAUGACUAAAAUAAUAAAAUGGGAAAGAUUUUCUUCCUAUAUACUGAGAUUCUUUCCGUUACAAUUUAAUAUAUUUAUAUUUAUGCAUGUGUAUAAAUAGACAUUGUUUACCAAAUUAAUAAAAAUCUUACGUCCAUACAUAAUGCACUUUUUAUUUAUGCACACCCACAUGCAAAAUCACAUGCAAGAUAACGACGAUGAUGAUUAAUAUUAAAUAGAAGAUGAUAAUUUUCAUAUAAAAUAGAAGUUGAUAAUGAUAAUAAUAGAUCAUAAAUUAAAAUAAAAUAUUUUACAUGUUAACGUUCUAAAGAGAAUUUAUAAAUGUUGUCCUUUCAAGCAUAUAAUUAGUAUGAUUGUUUUGUAAUGGCUACCUUAACUUGUGCAAAUUAAUUCAACCACUGAUGAUUUCGGAUGGUAGGACUUCUUUUGAAAAUGCAUGAUGGUAUUUUUUAAAAUAAGCCAAUGACUACAUUUUAUAAUAUAUGUUUUCUGAUAUAUCUAAUAAUCUCAUAGAUUGAGUCGAGGUAAAAAAGAAUUAACAUUUCUUUCUUAAGCUUCUAAGACGUCUCUUAAGAUUAAAAUUGUGACGGAACUCCAAGUUCCAAAGUAGAAAAUAUCUUCAAUGUAGUAAUUUAUCCUAACAAGCAUUUUACUAUUUUUUUACUUUAGACAAUAUUAAAUUAGACCACGGUAUAAAAGUGUUAUCUAAACACAGUAAAUUUAAUAAUUUUAUAAAUCUGACUUAAAAACUAUUAAAAGUCAUGGUUGUUGAAGUGUUGAUACUUUAUGUCACAUUUAUCUUAAUGUUGCCUUCAAAAUGUGUGGCUUAAAACCAUGAUGUGUGGUUUCAAAAUGUUAUUUGGACGAACUUGAGGUGGAAACAUUACUACAAGAAAAAAGUAUUUUAAUAGAGAUUAUUUAGCGGAGGUUAAUAUAACUAUAAAAAUUGAUUUAAUUAAUGGAGAUUUCGUUAAGUUCCAAAGGUUAUUCAAAAACCUCAAUAAAAUAAGAAAGGUUUUUUUAACAUUAGUUAAAUUUCAAAUGUUUAUUUUAUAACCUCGACAAAAUAAUUGAGGUUUUUUUAACUUUUAUUAAAUUCCAAAGAUUUAUUUUAAAACUUCGACAAAAUAACGGAGGUUUUUUUAUCCUUCGUUAAAUUCCAAAGGUUUAUUUUAAAAUCUCAGCAAAAUAACGAGGUUUUUUUAAUCUUCGUUUAAUUCCAAAGAUUUAGUGUAGUCGUACUAAAACACUCCAGAUUUUUCAAACUUCAAUAAAUAAAUAUAAUUAAAUCUAUUUAUAAAUAAAUAAUUACAAACUAUAUAGUUUUAAUAUAUUUUAUAGUUAAAUUCUCUAAAAUUUUGAAAGUGUAACUUUACAUUACAAAUAAGUUUUCUAAAGUUUCAAAAUUUUAUUUUAAAAACAAAAUAACCUUAGAUAAUAAGCAUUUCAACAGUAUUUGCAUAUUUCUUAUGAUUGAUGGAAGUUGGUUUAUAUAAUUUCUAUUUUUUUGUUACAAGCUCAUACUUCAAAAAACCAUACUUAUGUUGUUUUAGCUUUUGAUGUACGUAUAUUUAUGUGCAAUUUUAGUUUUAGUUAUAAUUGUUAAAAUUUAAUUCUCGUAAUUUUGAAAUAUUUUAAAUUAAAGCCUUUAUUUUAAAAUGCAUCCAAUAACUGUGAAAGUGAGAAGUAAUAAAGUUAAUCUUUCCUCGCAAUAUGUUCUUACAAUCUUUGAAGUCCUCGUAUCCAAAAACACACAUGCCUUUGAAACCCACAUCUGACAAAUACUACAAUUAUUUAGGAUAUAUAAAGUUAGGGCAGUAAGGUGAUGGAAGAAGCAAUAUUAGAGUAAGAAGAAGAUAAUAUCUUAUCUAAUGUUUCUUCUCCUUAGAUAUAAUAGAGAUAAGUGUGGGUGAAUUGUGAUUCAUUGUUAGGACUGGUGUUGGCGGCCAUUGAGCCUGUGCUGGAGAGCAUUGUGUCUUUGGUGGAAGAGAGAAAUUAAGAGGAUCGUUAGAGAUGGUGGAAAAUGGGGUUGGAGGUUAUUUCAAACGACAAGUCAUUUUACGUUUUGAAACUCGUGGUAUUUAAUGGAGGUUUUGAAACCCAUGAUAUUUUAAUGAGGUUCUUAAAAUCAUGGUAUUUAACAGGGGUUGUGAAAGACUUUUCUUAAGGUUUAAAAAAACCUUGGGGAACACGUUCCCCAAGGAUGGUUUGGCGGGGGAAACUGCAACCCUAGGUAAACGAAUUAAUAGAAGUUUUAACUCUGGAUAAUGUAAAAAUAAACCCCGUUAAAAUUAUUUUUUCUUGUAGUGCAUUGACACCAUUUGUGAGGACAAAACAAUGAUGGAGCUUCGGGCUCCAAAGAGGACAAUAACUCGAAUGUAGUGAUUGACCCUAGUGAUGUUAUCUCAAUGAUAUUGAGGUUAGAAUAUUGGGCGUGGGAAUGGAAAAGUGGUUCCAAAUAUGAACCCACAUUCAUUUAGCCCUCAACAGGGGGCUUGCUCAAGUAUUUUUCACAUCACUUUGGAGUUAAGACCAAAGACAAAUUAUAUAGACCUUCUUCUCUUAACCUUUUGAGACUCCUUUUAAAGACAAAAUUUUGAUGGAGUUUCGAGUUCUAAAGCGAACAACACUACAACAAAUCUAGGAUUUAUCGAUGAAAAAUUAGUGAUAGAUAUUCAUCAAUAAUUUACCACUAAUCAAUAUCCAUAAGUGAUAUCCGCCUAUAACGGUUUAUAAUAAUAAUAUAGUGAUAAUAAUAUUACUUAAGAUAAUAAUAAUCAUAGUAAAAUAAUAAGACAAAUAGUAAUAAUAAUAAUAAUCAUGUUAAUAAUAAUAAUAAAAUAAUAAUGUUAUUAAUUUUAAUACAUUUUUUAUAAUUAUAAUACUAAUAAUUUUAUUUUAUAUAGAUACAUAAUAAAAUAAAAAUAUUAAUUUAAUAAUUUUACAUAAUAAUAAUAUUAAUAUAUAUUAAAAUGAAAAUAUUAACUUAAUAACUUGUAAUAAUAAUAAUAAUGAUGAUGAUAAUAAUAAUAGUAAUAAUGUUGAUAGUAGUAAUAAAAAAAUGAUUAUGAUAAUAAAUAUAAUAAAAUACUAGUAAUUUUCUUAUUAAUAAUAAGUUAUGAUAAUAGUAAUACUAAUAAUUUUAUUUUAUAUUAAUAUAUAUUAAAAUGAAAAUAUUAAUUUAAUAAUAACAAUAAAAAUGAUAAUAAUAAUAAUAAUAAUAAUUGCGAUAAUAAUAAUUGCGAUAAUAAUAAUAAUAAUAAUAUAAAAAAUAAUUAUGAUAAUAAUUAGAAUAAAAAUAUUAAUAAUUUUCUUAUUAUUAAUAAUAGUUUAUGAUAAUAGUAAUACUAAUAAUCUUAGUUUAUAUUAGUAUAUAUUAAAACGGAAAUGUUAAUUUAAUAAUUUGAUGUAAUAAUAAUGAAGAUAAUAAUAAUAAUUUAUUCUAUAUUAAUAUAUAUUAAAGUAAAAAUAUUAAUAAAAUCAUUUUAUUAGUAACAUUAUUAUUAUUAUUAGUAAUAUUAUUAUUUGAUAGUAAUAUUAUUAAUAAUAUAUAUAUAUAUAUAUAUAUAUAUAUAUAUAUAUAUAUAUAUAUUACUUCUUCAAAAAAUAUUUAAAUUGAAUAUUUAAAAUAUAGUAAUAAAAGGGUAAUUUUAAAGAUUUUGAUCCUACAAAUAAAUAAAAGAAACAAUUAAUAUUUUAGAAAUGUAAAGAUAUAAUUAUAAACAUAUUAAUGACAAAUUUUAAAUAGCAAAAGAACUUACUCAAUUUGAUGGAAUACUUAAAGAGCUAAAUGUUGGAUCCGCGUUUAUCACUAAGCAAAAAGUUAUGGUUGAUAGUCUCAAGGCACAAUUCUUUCUACUUGACCCACUUGCCUCCACCAUGAUACAAUUGAUGUCACCUGCAACAAUCUUUUCCUCAACAAUUGUCUCAUUAGGAAUCAAACUCUUCGACCGUGACUCAUCCCACCUAGCCUAUGCCAUAGGACAAUUAUGUGAAUUGCAACAAUCACUUCAUUGAGAAUCAAACUUGUGACUUUGACUCUAAUACUAAUCAUUGGAUCAAGCGCUUACCACUAGACCAAAAGUUCUAGCUGAUAGUUAGGGUGCAACUCUUUCUAGUUAAGAGUGUAAUAGCCUAAGUGUCAAGAUUCGAUAUUGACUUGGCCCACUUUGAUGGCCUUCUUCUCCAUGCUUGUGUGUUUUCUUUUGUUUUGGAUAAAAGAGAGUAUAGUGGAGCGCGAAAGUGGUGGAGGAAGUGUAUAAAUAAAAAAAUAAUUAUUUUAUUUUUUUAGUAAAAAAAAAAUAUACCUCAUUCACCCAUUACUGUAGUGUGACAUUUAUUUUAUUUUAUUUUUAAAAAAAAUGAAUUUAAUGUACUAACUAAAGGAAUGUUUCAUUUUAAUCAUCUAAAAGAGUUAGUAUUAAGAAUGACAAUGAAUUUAGAUUUAAGUAAAGUCUUGUAUUUAAAUUUUGUUAAUAAAAAAAUAAUAUAAAGAAGAGAUUUCAAUAGGAUAGUUAAAAAAUUAGUCAUCUUCAUUAAAAUAUUUUGUAGCAAAAGUUUGAUAAGAUACUCUUAUACAUGUAACAUAUAUAGAAAAAAAUAGAUGCAAAACAAAACUUUAAUUAAUUUUAAUUAAGCCUUCUAACAAUUUACAUACUUGAAUUUAUAUUUUUAUCUUAAUUGAAUGAAUUGAAACAUGGAUAAAAUUUUAUUUUUUAGUAAUAUGAAUAAGGUUUUUUAUAUUUAAUGAAAUUUUAUUUUUCUUUUAAAAAAUAUUUUUCUUAUGUGUGUUGGCCUGCAGGCCCGCAGGUUACCUCUUAUGCGAGGCAGACCAAUGAAAUGAGCUCGCACUCCUUGCGUAGGGCGGGUCAACCCGACCCGCAUUUUGCAGCCAAAUGCAGGGCGGGCCUAUGUGGGCAGACCAACCUGCAUUGCCACCCCUAAUUAGUGGUGGAAGUGUGUGAGUCGGCUCCUAGUGUCAACUGCAUAUUCACCUUAGGAUUCGUUUAGUUUACUUCCACUAGUAUUUACUUUUUUGCCUUUAUUUUUGCUUUUACUUUCCUUUUUUAUUUUCUUAUGUUUAAGUCUUUGUGAUACAUAGGAUUUUUCUGUGCUAUUAGUAGAUCAUUUUGCAUUCAGACACACACCUUAGUUUCUAAAAGUUGUUUUGAAGCUCUUUGGGAAAACUUCUGUGAGAACUAUCUAAGGUAAACUCUGGCUAGGAAAAUUUUGAUACUUAAGUAGUCCAUUGUGACUCACCUAACUUUCCUAUAAGUGAACUUGGAGAAAACUCAUACUAGAUUCUUUGAUUUACUUCACAAAAACUAAAAAUAUUUUCGGAAACAUUUUAUCACCUAAGUUGAAUUGAUUUUUUUUGUGAUAACAAUUUCUGUUUUAAAUUCAAAAAUGGGUGAUCAUAGCAUAAUACAUACAUGCAUUUCAAGAUCUAACGAUAAAUCUAGAAAGAAAAUAUCUUUUGUGGAUCCUCUUUUAUCUUUCCCUCCAGAAAAAUAUUUAAUGGUCAAAAGAUUACUUGGUAACCAUUCUAGUAACUUAGAAUAGUCACAAGAGGAUAAUCUAUUCCACACAAGAUGUAAUAUUUUGGAUAAAACAUUUUCUUUAGUUGUGGAUAGUGGAUUUUGUUCUAACUGUUGCAUUGAAAGAGUGGUCCUCAAGUUAAAUCUUUCAACCACACUUCAGGCCAAACCUUAUAAGUUAUAAUUGAUCAAUGAGGAUGAUGGUAUAUUGUUGUGAGUAGGUAAGCAAAUAUUUCAAUAACCAUUGGAUCUUAUAAAUAACCAUUUUGUGUGACAUUAUUCCAAUGGAUACUAGGCAUAUUCUACUUGCCGCCCAUGACAAUUUUAUCAUAAAGCUAUUCAUGAAUUUCAAUCCAAUAAAAUCAUUACAUACAAAAUAUUACCAAUGAAUCUAUUUACAUCGGUAAAUUCAAUAUUAUUAUUAAUAUUAAUAUUUUAUUAUUAUUAUUAUUAUUAUAUUAUAAAUAAUAUUAAUAAUAUUAAGAAAACUAAUACUAAAAAUAUUAAAAAUACUAAAAAUAUUAAAAAUAGUAAUUAUAUUAAUCAUAUCAAUAGUAAUAAUAAUACUAAUAACAUUAAUAAUAUUAAUAGUAUUAACAAUAUUGAAAAUAUUAAUAAGAUUAAAAAUAUUAAUAAUAUUAACAAUAUUAAUAAUAUGAAUAAUUUUAAUAAUAUGAAUAAUCUUAAUAAUAUUAAAAAAUAUUAAGAAUAUAAAAAAUAUUAUUAUAAUAUUAAUAUUAUAAAUAAUAAUCUUAAAAAAAGAUAAAAUUAAUAAAAAAAGUUUUUUUUUAAAAAAAAAGUAUGCAACACUACCUACUAUUUUAAUCAAAUAGUAGAGGUGGUGAGUACUAGUUACAAACUCGAUUUAGUGAGUAUUGUCAAAGGAUCAAAGUUGGUCGAUAAUACCUAUGGACUGGAACUGGUGGUACAUAUUAUGUACGAACUGAAGUUGAUUGGUAUUGCGUAUGGUUGGAGUUUAUGGAUAUUCCUAUUAUUAAUAUUAAUAAUACUAAUAAUACUAAAAAUAUUCAUAAUAUCAAUAAUAUUAAUAUUAUCAAUAAUAUUAAUAAUACUAAUAAUAUUAAUAAUACUACUACUAAUAAUAAUACUAAUAAAAUCAAUAAUACUAAAAAUAUUAAUAAUAUUAACAACAUUACUAAUACUAAUAAUAUUUAUAAUAUGAAUAGUAUUAAUAAUAUUGAUAAUUAAGUUAAAAAUAUUAAUGGACGGCCAAAUUAUAUGCAAACUCGAUGUUGGGAAGAUACUCAUCCCAAAAUCUGUGGUUACCAUUUAGAACUGUCCUGAGCAUAGUAGACAAAGACUUAUUAACUCAUUGAGAGGUAAAGUUAUACCGGAGAAGUUUGGAACAAAACGUCUGUAAAAACUAGCUAAAUUAUGAAAUUUGCUCACAUCUCCCACACUGUGAGGUGUUGGUCAUUCUUGGAUGUCUUUGAUAUUCUCAGGGUCAACAUGGACCCAUUUUUAUUUACUGCAAAAUCUAGAAAAACUACACUUUUAACAUAAAAAGUACAUUUCUCAACAUUAGCAAACAAAUUAUUGUGUCUCAGAACAACAAGACUUCCCUAAGAUGACCUACAUGCAAAUAUAAACUAGGACUAUAGACUAAAAUGUCAUCAAAAUAAACAACUAAAAAUUUACCUAGCAAUCCCUAAGAACAUGAUUCGUUAGCCUUGUGAAUGUGCUAGUAAGGUGCAUUGGUAAGCCCAAAAAGCAUCACUAACCAUUCAUAUAGUCUAAAUUUGAUCUUAAAAACAAUUUUCCACUCAUCACCCUUUUCGAUUAUGAUUUGGUGAUAAGUGUGAUUCUAUAUGUAUCCACUGGAAAUUGAAUCAUUCAAAUUUGCAAGAAACAAAAAAUCAACAAUUUUUUUUGUAGGUUUUGUUGCGAAUUCAAUAUAGAACACAAUGAAACAUCAAAAGAUAAAUCUACAACAAUUAAAAUGAUAAAAAUCAUACCAAACAACAAGAACAUGAAGAACAACCCAUAAAAAUUCAAGAAACAUUAAAAAAAUGAAAAGAAUCGGUGGAAACUCAAAAGAAAUUGUGGAAAUUGAAAAUAAAUAGUGGAAAAUUACAAAAGAAUGAAGAACAUAUGAAGAAACACAAGAACAUGGUGCAACAUUAUCCUUAAACUCAAGAAUAACCCUUUUUUUUUAGAAUUAGACAUAUCUGGAUGUGAAGCUCUGAUCCACCUCAUGCAAUUGUCCUUCAAUUUAGAAAAAGUUGAUGGAAGCCAGUGGAAGACUUGUAGAAAUCCAUGGGGAAAACCAAUCCUAAACUCAAAAUUUAGGUGUAGAAAGAACCAAAAGGUGAUAUUAUUUGAGUUUAAGUUGUAAGACUAACCUAUGUGACGUCACAAAAAUUAAAAGGUGUAAGACCAACCCAUAGGAGGGCAACACCAAUUGAAUUUUAAGACCAUCACUUUAGGACGACAUAAAACUUUUGAUUGCGACAUGGUGUUUUUUGGAAUAUGAAGAGUGUUUUACAUCGUAAUUUAUUGAUUUUUACGUUAGAUAAACAUCUUCACCUCAUAUACUCGGCUUGAGGUUAGAGGACUCUUGUUAUCUCCUAUUAAAAUGAAAUAUAAUUUAUUUAAAGAGUUUGUUAUAAGACCUAUUAAUAUUAACAUAGGGAUUGAAUAAAAUUACAUAGAAUCUUAACAAAAAAUAUAGAGGGAUAUAUUUUUGUGAUACUUGAAAUUAGUUGAGGAAAAUUUUAAAAAUUAAAUGAUAUUACUUAAGAUUUAGAAGAUAAUUAAUAAUUAACUAAAACUUAUAAAUACACCCAUCAUGAUAUACAAAAUGGAAGAAAGAAAAGAACAAAAAUAUUAUGAUUUGAGGUAAUUUAAACUUUUGAAGUGAGCAAAAGAAACAAACCAAAAUAAAAAUUUAUAAAUAUUCAUCAAAGCAUAAAUUUGCAUUAACAAUGUUAUUGCUUGGUUGGUACGUUGAUAAUUAAAUAUUUAGAAUUAGUUUACUAACUAUGUACACACAUAUUUAGACUACAAAAAUAUAAUAGAAUUAGUUAGUGUGUACUUCACCAAUGCUAUAUACUAUUUAUUUUUAAAUUAUAUAUUCUCAACGUUUAAUUUAGUAAUAAUAUUAAAUUAUUUUUCUUACUUUAUCCUAUUAACAAUAUGUUAAACCGACGCCUAUGUUCAUGUUUUUAAAAUUUCUCCAAUUUAAAAUCUAUGAUCCGACACUAUUUCUUAUUCAGUAUCGACUUGUUUUUCUUAGGUUUUUUUAAUUUUAAUAUGAUGCUAAAAUACUUCUCUUAAAUGGCGUGUCCGUGUCGGAUACGUGUAUCGGAUGCCGACACUCGUACGAUCAUUACAUCAAAAAGUAAAAUUAGCUGCAAAAGAAAGUGAGGGUGAUGCUAGGAACCCUAAAUAGUGUCCACUAAGCCUUCAUUAUUAAAAAAAAUAAAAUAAAGCGUGGGUUAUAUGGACAUAAACUAAAUUUUUUUUAAAAAAAUUGUGUGGGUCAAACGGUCUGGAACUAUAAAUAAUAAAUAAUAAUAAAAAUUUAAAAUUUUGUAGGUUAAACCCACACAAACAUAAUAUAUAUAUAUAUAUAUAUAUUUAAAUUAAAUUUAAAUAUGUAAUAAAAUUAUGAAGGUUAAGCUCAAGCUUGUUUAAAAAUUGUGUGGUCAAUCCGUUGACUAAGCCCACGCUUCUUUGAAUAAACAAUAUAAAAUAUGUUUAGGGUUUAGGGUUUAGGGUUUAGGGUGUGUGGACGUGUGGGGAGCAUGUAAGCUAGGCCUACGCAAAAAACACACCACUUGUGUCCCACACACCCGUCACUAUUUUUAUGUCGAGCAUAUUAGCUUCCAAAUUUUAAUGAUAACUACACUUUUGCGUCUAUUUAUUAUAAUUAAUGUCCCUUUUUGACCCAUGCUAAUAAUUUUUUGUAGUGGGUAUGUAUUGAUAAAGUGUCAAAUUCAAAAAAUAUUUGUUGAAUUUAAGACAAUUCUAACACAAUUUUAAAAAGGAGAAAUACAAUAAUUUUCUAAAAACUCAAACUUAUUUUAUAAAUUUUUAGUAUGAUUAUAAAAAUAAGGAACAAAUCUUUUUGAACCAGCCAUGAAAAACAUCUUUUUGUUCCAAAAGAAAAUAUUGAAACAUACUUGUGCACAUAAAUUUUUAUUUUUAUUGUUAAUUUAUAUAAUUCAUAAUUAUAUAAUAUAUAUAUAUUUGUUUUCCUGUAUCCUACAUUUUAAAAAUUAUACGUAUCUCCAUAUUUAUAUCCGUAUUCGUGUUCGUGUCGUAUCAAUGUCCGUGUCUAUGCUACAUAAAUUCUAAAUGUUUUCCCCGAUUUGUCUCCUCUAAUUUUAUUUUAUUUUCUUGUGGUGCAUAUAAUAAUAUAGUUGAUUGAAAAAAUAUAACAGGGUUUAAAAAUCUUUAGGUGGGAUAUGGUGGCGCAGAAUGUUCAUACUGAAUGAACAUAACCACAAUCAGACAUAGAAUGUGAUUCUUUCACAUGGACACACAUCUAACGUAUUUCAUUUAUUAAUAAGGUUGUAAUGUGAAAGGGAGUAAGGUUCAGGUUCAAUUUUUCUUUCUUUAUAUAUAUAAUCAUAAUAAACUGCAUCACCUAACGUCACCAAAACCACAUUCGAGAAAGAAAAUAGAGAAAUAUAUGAAUUGUUACAAUAAAUUAAACUGGAAAUGAGAAAUGAGUAUAUCAAGAUUAUGGUUAGCUUAAAAAUUAUGGGUUAGGAGAAAAAAAAAAUAGUUUCUGGAAAUUUGGUGAUGAAAAGCAUUUUAUUUUUUGAAUCUUAUUUUAAAAAUAAUGUUUUCAGAAAAUAAUGGUUUUUUUUUUCGAAAAUAGUGUUUAGUUAGAUUUUUUUGCAUAAAUGAGAAUUCAACUUUCUUUAAGUUAAAAUAAUUUUGUUUGCUAAAAUAAAAAAGUCACAUUUUAUUUUAUUAUUUAAUGUUAUAAAGAAUUAAAAAUGUUGAUAAAAAGAUAAUUUAUUUUUAGAGUUUUAGAGAGCUUUGAUAAAUACUUUUAACAACUAAAUAUAUUUUAAUUAUUACAAGAAAAAAAUCUCUUACCAAACAUCUCGAACGUCUUUUAAAAUGUGAUUUUAACUUGGAAAUCGAAUUGCAAAAUAUCAUAGAAUGCAAAUUUGCACAUGAUGAAUUCUUUACUGAAUAUAUAUUAUUUCCUAGUUGUGAGUAUUGGGAUAUUCCUUACAAGAAAAAAUAAAAGUAUUACUGAACAUGAAGGUGAACAAAUUAUCAUUUCGAAUGUUUUCUGUAUAUUUAAUGUCUCCUUUUGAAAUGAAAACUCAUUAGUAAAAAGCUUGUUAACUUAAUCUAUUAAUUUUUUUGGUACAUGUUAAAAAAUUAAACUAUUGUUGAUGAUGGUCCCCUUCAACCCGUGCCCUCAGUUUAUGCGUUGCAUUGUUGGAAUCCACGAGGCAUAGUGCGUUCACUCAGAAAUUGCACAUCACAGUGCCUAGAUAAAAUUCAUUACAAAAUUAACUUCACCUCUUAAUUCUUAUAUUCAUUUCAUCAUUUUCAUUUUUUAUCAUGUCACUUUUUCUUUCCUCUCUCAAAGUAUAUAUUAAGAAAUUAAGAAGUGUAAUUUAAGUAGAACUCAAUCUUAUAAAAUCAAUAUUUAUAAGAUGAGGUUUGCACUUACUCAUAUACUAUGAAGUGUCUUAAUUUUUAGUUAAUGUGAGGUUUGCACUUACUCAUUUACGAGACUAUAUAUUUAUGGGUAGUUCAAUAGUGACUCGAUAACAGGUGAUUUACUAGAAUAGGCUCAAAAUGACUCUAAUACCAUAGUAAAAAGUGGAUUUUAAGUAUAAGUCAAUCUAAUAAAACAGAUUUAUAAAAUAAAAUUUGCAUCGAUUCAUAUAAUAUGAAAUGUCCUAUAAUCUAAUCGAUGUGAAAUCUCAUUAAAUACAUCCCAAAGAUCAAAGGGAAUGAAAAAAAAAAAUCAUAUUCUUUUCAUAAGCAUAGCAUGCCCUUUACCUAACUAGUAGCUUCUACCUAGGUAUGAGGUGGUCCUGAGAUUCCCUCCCACUGGUGGUUCAUAUAUAUUCUUGAGUUUAUAUGGGAAGGGAAAGAUAAAGUAGCUUUUUGAGGUUUGAGCUUUUGGGCAUGUGACUUAUAUUUUAGAAAAAUGGAAGUGCCCUUUUGUUUCUAAGUUCAGAGCCACUCAAUUGUUAUAUAAGAAUUGAUCUGAGGGAAGUGGUGUGAAAAAAUAAUGUGCAAAUAAGGUUUCCCUAUCAGUAUGGCAAACAUGCCAAUGCUUUAUAUUUUACUGCAUUGUGAACGAAUGUGAAGUCCACCGUGAUGGCUGCGCCAACCAAACACAAAGCCAGUUCUUCAAACAUGAUUUAUAUUUUUAUAUAUUAAAUUACUUAAUUAUGAUCAUGAUUAAAAUUAAUUUGUAAGUAUUUAAAUUGCAAUAUUAUUUAUAUUUUUUCAAACAUUACAAUAUAAAACUUUAAAUUUGUAAAUUAUAUUCUAGUUGUCAAAUUACUUAUGAACUUAUCUAUGGGUUCAUUUUGUUAUUCUUAACUUAUAAUAUGCACCAGUAAAGAGGUGACUCCACUUUGGUCCAUUAUUAACAUAUUAGUCAAAAGAAACCAAAUCAACCGGUUUUAUCACUCAUAUUUGGUAGAAAGAAAAUAAUUAAUUAAGAAAUAAGGUUAAGCAGAAAUUAAAUAUAUAAAAUUGAGUAUGUAAAAUAUAUUUAAGAGUAUUUGGUUUAGGAAAAAUAGAGAAAAUAUUAGGGAAGAGAAAAAUAGAAGAGAAAAACGUAAAAAAAAUCCAUUUUUUACAAAAGAAAAUCAUGUAAGAUAUUUUUUUUCUUCUGCUCUCUCAUUUUUCAUCCAUUUCUCCUCUCUAAAGUGACGAUGGAGAAAGAUACACAAAUUCCUCCUAAAUCUUGUACCCUUCUCUUCACACUACAUACUACUACUACAUGAUGAUGGAAGAAGAGAACCACUGUGUAUAUUUUGUUGAUUUCUCAGUGGACUAUCCUUUAUUUGGCUGAUUCUCACUGUGCACCACAUCAAUUUAAAUACGCACCCAAUGCAACAAAUCAAUUUAAAUAUGCAUUAAUAUACUCACAUAAAAUAUCCAUUUUGCCUUUAUGAUUUAAAAAACUUUAUUUUUUUGAAUAUUUAUAACCAUAAAUUAAAUUACAAAGUUCCAAAUAUACAAAUGAAUGUGUUCUGACAAGAUGAAUUUAUUUUAGAUUAAAUUACCCUGUAGGUUUACACUAAGUAUUUUCAUUUAUCCCCUUCAUACUAGUCUUCUCAUAUUUGAAAACUCAGAACCCAAAAUUCUCAAUCAAAAUUUUCAGCUACUAUUCUUAUCUCUACAAGUCUUCUCAAGUAUUUUUUUUACAGGGAUUUUCAUAUUUCCACUUUAUAGCAAUUCUUUCUGCGAACUGACAAAUGAGUCAAAACAGUUAAUUUUCUAUAAUAGUUAGACAGAAAGAUCCAACUACAAUACAAAUACAAGCUCAAAUUGAAAAAAACCAUUCAAAAAUGUAGUUAAAAUUAUCAAAUAAUUUAUUGAUUACAGUAAUUUAACCUUUCUUUUACCGGUGAAAAUAGACGAGCGAGAGUCCAGAGGAAGGGGAUGGACAAAAAGCAACAGAUAAACAAUUUCACCAAUUAUAUUUUAUAAGCGAUGCGAAAGCAAUACAAAUAAUUCCUACUGCAUCUGAAAGUUUUAUUCCAAAGAAGAAAAUAAACUCUUAUUCAUUCAAGGGUCAUUAGUACGUGCUGUAAGUCAAAUCAACGACCUGUAUACAGUUAUCUAAUUUCGUAACAGUAAAAAAUGAGAAACACGGAGAUAGUACGAAAUUGUCAUACAAAUACUCGAGGAAAAUGUGAAGAAGAAACAUUAAUAAGCAAGGUCGAUUCAUGGCUCAGGUUGCAUUUUCUCACAUUCUUCCCGAAUUGACUGGAAAAGAAUAGUAGACAAAUAUCUUUCACCAAAGCUUGGGA